rnacentral:lncRNA from 1 species
UAAAGCUAAAGCAGCCUGGUGAAUGAUAGGAGGGCGGUCUUGAUUUGUAUUAUUAUGGUGUGUUCUAUCCGAGGGGGGGUCUUCGUUUAGUCUAUUGGUAUGGUAUUCUCUCUUUCAUUCAUUUUUGGGCGGAAGGUAUUCUCAUGUGGGUGCGUACUGCUUCUUUUCCUGCUACACCCGGAAUACUGUCAGUUCCAAACCUCCUGUGAGUGACUAUAAACGAUUAUGUCAUCGAGUGGUCAAGGUAAGAGUUUUUUUUAUCCAUUGUUGUGCGGAAGAAGACCAGAAUUAGGACGAUAUUCAUCGAUCAGUUACUCUUUGUCUACGUUAUGGAGUCUCCACUCCAUGUUGAAAGCUCUUUCAAAUAGCAUGAGCGUUGAAAGUAUGAAAUUAGACGUUAGCCUUAGAUUCUUUUUUUGACUUCUUGAGAAGACUGCUUUCCUUUGAAAGAGCUGUGGGCAUAGCUAAACUUUCUCAAAUGCGGGAUCGGGAUUUCUUUCCUCUUGAUGCGGUAGAAGAGGUCUAGUCUAGGUCAUUUCUUUUGCUAGAGAAUAUGUUGGCAAUGAUCCUUUUAUGGGAAGGGAAUCGCUAAGACCAAUCAUUCCCUAGUCUCGCCUAUAUCCUAUUGCUAUUAUAGCUGGGAUCUUCCCUAGCGGUAGAAGAGGUAAUAUCAUAUAAGUCUAGUCUCAAAUCAUUCCUUUAGUUCCAUUCGCUCCUAAAGCUGCAACUCUUCUUUUAACGUGGGGUGGGCAUAAGAGUAACUAGCUUGCUUCUACUUCUUCCAAAGAUUACCCGGAUACCCAAGUAGCAUAUCCCUCCGUAAUAUCUCUUAUAGAGUCUCAAUAAGUGAGAAGUUCCUCCCUUUUCAUACUGUCAAAUACAGGAUCAGAAUUCAAAAGGAUACCGCUUUCGACUUUCCUGUCUUACCUUUUCACAUAAGUUCCAUUCCAAUGUAUGCAAUCUAGAACAUCGUACAGGAUCAUCGCAUAGACGGACUACUUUGCUUGCUUUUUCCUUUACUGAAUAAGUGUAACUGCGGAAGACUUUGCUCUAUGUAGGAAAGUACUAGAGUGGAGUGCCCUGCCCACCUGAAAGAUCUCCUUCAGGGCUUGGACAAGAUUUGGAUCUGUCUUCUAUCUGGUACACAAGAAACUAAGCCAAUCCCUUUUGGAGCUACCUCUGAAUCCGCAAUGAGAAUGCCAAUGAAUUUUGAAUAGGUAAGUCAAUCUUCGCCGAAGCUAACAUCAUCUUUAUCACGACGAGCUGGGAUCGAAGGGAAAAAUAGUGGCUCGACUUUAUUUACGAGAAAGAGGAGGUAACCAGCUUUUGAAGGACCGAAUAGGGAGAGGUACUUGGGUACUAAAGAGAUUGAAUUGAACCUUUAGCUUUAGCAGAGAUCAGGGAUUCCCAAUAAGCAGAUAGUUCAGUUCGAAGGGAAAGAAAGAAGUCAUAGUUAGGCGAGGUUACCAGAUGCUAACUAAACUUCAGACUAAGCAGCAGACGCAAAGUCAGCACUCGAUCGACCUUAACCGCCAUAAGCAUACCCCAGAUUUCAGGGAAUAGGAAAUUGGGUACUCGACAGAAGAGAAGGUCGGGAAGAGUUUCCUAAGUGAAGGAAGACGGAGCGGGAAAGUCAAUGAACAGGGGAGCGAACUAGUCGAUCGACUAAGGCCGUUGCAGGUGGCUUGAGAAUGAGGCUAGGUCCCUUUUCCCGACAACAGAUCUCCGAUCUGACUUUCUCAAGUCAUACGUCUUUUGUUCAGCCAACAGUCUUCCACUCUACUUAUUAUGACUUACUAGCGCCCUUCACUUCAAGUCAUACGCCUUUUGUUCAGCUUAUUUCCAAAUCAAAGCUACUUGCUUAUAAGAGAAGAGCAAGGUGCGUAGCUUACUUGGUAAAGGACUCCCUAUAGUUGCGGAAUAUGCUUUUUGCCGCUAGUAAUUAAGCGUCUUUCCCUACGCUAAGCUUCCUCUCCUUGUGCGGAGCUUCCCUUCUUUCGCUAACUCGCUCUUCUGGGCAAGACGUUGUGACUUCAUUCCUACCCCCUAUAGUAUAAGAAAAGAAAAAAUGCAUUUCUUAACAGCACGGUACUCGGCUUCUUCUUUCUGGAUCAAGUCCCAGGUCAGAUCUGAGAGCGAAAGCUGUAGGUAGGGUUGGAGACCGACGAGGCUGGAGCUGUUCUCGAUCCGGCCAUGCAAUAAAUGAUACAUUUUCCGCCGAUGGUCGUGGGCUGUCUUGUUAAUAGCUCAUGAAGUAGAGCCAGAAUUCAGGGGUGAUGAUCCGCCCACACAAUUGGUAGUAUGAGAGGCUGCCACUUGGGGCCUAUAGAUUCCAUAUCCAAAGGCAACUCAGAAUGGCUAGGAAGGAAGAAAGCAUAGAAUGAAGAUUUCAAGAAGAUCUCUGUCAAGCCGAUGUUGAAGGGGCGAAGCAGCUUUACCGAGUUGACGAGGUGCAAAGAAUAUUGCGUUGACAGGUCCGAAGGCUAGGCGCAAAGUUCGGUUAAUUACGGAAAGUCCUACUUCCUUCUAAUGGAUAGUCCUCCUUCGGUUAAUUACGGAUGGUCCUACUUCCAUAUGGAUAGUCCUACGGAUAAGAAUCCUGCGGACUCCGGACUACGGAUAAGAAUCCUGCGGACUCCGGACCCUGGACCUUUCUUUGAUGGACAGGUGACGGGGGAUUUUAGACGAACUUGAACUGAAGAUCUUUCGAGAAAAAAGAGAGGAAGCCAGAAUGAAAUAAGUUACUACUAUCUAUGACUGGCCAGCGGGCGCUACUAUAUGUAUAGAAAAAGGAUAGGAGAGAACAAGGGCAUCUCAUUGAUUCUUGAAACCAAAGAUUCAGGCGGGAUGUCAGCAGAUGAAGGGAUAGAAGAUCAAUUUGUCCCUGAAGCAACUUCUUCCUCAACUCUUCUUCUUAUAGUGGAUGUGAUGGAAGUCGGCUAUAGCAACUAAAGACUCAGCAAGCGGUUGAAUAAAUAAGUGCUUGAAGAAUGAAAUUGCUACAAGAAGUCGAAAGUCUUAGUGAGACUUACCGCGUAGUGGGCGGGAACUUCUCUUGAGUGCCUUAGACUUCGUAUCCAUGGAGGCUCCAAAAGGAAACCUUCUCUCUCUGGCUUGAAUCUCCUUCGCCUAUUUUUUGGUCCGAAGGACUGAUUAUUGAAAGGUAGAAAACUCCUACAAGAUCCAGUCCGGAGUGCCAAAGAAAGGAAAGGUCCAGGGUCCGCAGUCCGCAGUCCGCAGGAUUUAUCCGUAGUCCGGAGUCCUACGUCCGCAGGAUUUAUCCGUAGUCCGGAGUCCGGAGGAUUCUUAUCCGUAGGACUAUCCAUUAGAAGUAGGACCAUCCAUAUGGAGGGAAGUAGUCCGGAGGAUUUAUCCGUAGGACCAUCCGUAAUUAACCGAAGUAGGACCAUCCAUAUGGGCCAAAGAAAGGUCCAGGUGAUUUAUCCGUAGGACCAUCCAUAUGGAAGGAAGUAGGACCAUCCGUAAUUAACCGAAGGACUCUAAAACGGAGUGGGCCAUGAUCUUUGCUCCUUAAUAGAAAGCCGAGCCUUUAUUUGCAAUAUUCUUUGCGCCUUCCAGUCCGGAGGAUUUAUCCGUAGGACUCUAAAACGGAGGACCUGUUCAUUGACUUUAUUCCGCUCCGUCUUCUUGAAUCUCAAUUCAAACUUCCUAUAUCCUCUUAUGAUACAAAGUCCUUAACUUAAGGACUCAAAUUCUUUCUCACGCAAUAUUCUUUGUCACGCAUAUUUCAUUGCGCCUCCCCUAUCCUUGUUCAUUGAUCCUUGCCAAUAACAUCGAUCAGUCCUUUUUCUUUAUCAAGCUUAACUUCUUUGAGAGUUGCUGGCUGUGAGUCGAAAGACCUCUUUUUGGUGUGAGCUUUCUCCCAUUAUUUCUUUUCUUUCUCAGGUGGGUAUAAAUGCCUUGCCUUUCUUACUGGUCUUUCAGGCACUAUCUACAGACUAUCGAAAACAAGAAAAGGAUCUGGGCCUAGAGAAAAGAUGCCGAUGCCUUGGAAUGGAAGCAUUGAUCUCAUUUUUGCUUUGACUUUGUGGGGUUCAGGGAUUGAGUUAGGAAGCCAUGACGAAUCCGUCGGCAGUGUCUUCAACCUAUGAGAAGGUUGGUCUCAGAAUUCGAGAGAGAGAUUAGUGCUUAGUGCGCAGCAGGAUACUUGACGGAUGUGGCCAAGUCUUUUUCAAGUGCAGACGGAGGCCUCUUCGCUGGCCUUCUUUUUGAUGAUAAAGAAAUGCUUUAGUGAAGGACUAGAAGGCGCGCUUUAUAAGGCUCCAAAGACCAAUGCUGAAUCUUGUCAAUCCACUUCAAACCUGUGAGUCUUUAGGGGAAAAUAAAUAGGUAAGACUUGGAAUUAGCCAAAGUCAAAGUAUGAGUAGGAAGCAAUGCAUUCAAUGAAAUUCAUCCAUCUGCCAUAGCCCCAACUGGGGAUGCCUAAUAUCAAUCUAGAAAGAGAAAAAGAAGUGAGUUCAGUUUCAGGCACAGACCGUGAAGAAUGAACUUUGCCUCCGCACUCGCCUUCCUUCUAAGGAUCGAACUUACGUCUGAGCUCCUAAGGAUGCCUCAUCUUCCUUCCUCUCUUCCUAGCAGUGAGGUAAAGGCUCUUUCUCGAGAAAAAAUAAAGGCCCCUUGAACUCAUUUUUCUUGAUCCCAACUCAUUUGUCAGAAUAAAAGGCGGUUAUUUGACUAAAGAAUCCAUUUUGAUGAUAAAUACUGGCAUAAAAAGAAUACAAUAAGAGUGAGAACGCAAUAUUAUGUGCACCUUGAUUCAGAGUUUUUCUCAUUGUGCACAUUGAAUAACCCCCGUAUCCCCUUAAUCAGGCUGAUUAUUGCAGACUUUGGAGCCCUAGGCUUUUUAAUUAGUGGAAUAAGACUGAAAUAGUGGUCCUACGUCCGGAGUCCGCAGUGCCAAAGAAAGGUCCAGGGUCCGGAGUCCGCAGUCCGCAGGAUUUAUCCGGAGGACCAUCAAAGAAAGGUCCAGGUGAUUUAUCCGUAGGACCAUCCAUAUGGAAGGAAGUAGUCCGGAGGAUUUAUCCGUAGGACCAUCCGUAAUUAACAGAAGUAGGACUAUCCGUAAUUAACCGAAGUAGUCCGGAGGACUUUCCGUAAUUAACCGAACUUUGCGCCUGGACCUUUCUUUUUGGAGCCCUCGAAACUGAUAAUGGGGAUGAAUAGUCACCUGGACCUUUCUUUGAGAAAUUCAUGGAUAGGGCUCUGAGGCUACGUGGGCCCUUGUUCAUUGAUUCUCAUUCCACUGAGACUUAUCGUUAAUGAGCUGCUGCUAAGCUAAACCUUCAGAAAGCCCUAAUCCUUCUGAUGAAAGACCAAAAAUUCCGAUCGAGGAGACUAGUGCUUUAGCUCUUGUCUCUGCCACAGCUCCCAACUAAGCUUCAACGGAAAGUCAAUGAACAAGGUCCCCUAUCCAGAGUAAAUGGCCUAACCUCUUCUUCUUCCUUAGCUGUCGAGCUACUCUCGCUAUUUCAUCCCUUCUAUUCGUUCAUCAUAUAGAAUAUUCAUAAUCGCACAGAAGAGCAGCUGAGCACCUAUUUGAUGUCGACUUAUGCCUAUUGAUAUUGGUUGGUCGAGCAGUUCCACUCCGAUCCCACGAAGGCCCUUCCUCUUCCCCCUACGUGGGGGUCUAGAAUUUCAUCCUCUGUAGCCUGAAUUCACAAGGUUCAAAGAAUAUUUCAUUCCACGAAAGACCCGAAACUCAGUAGUUGACCUAUGAUAUUCAUACCUCUCCCACUCUGUAAAGCCUAAAAAUCACCCAUGGAGCGGUAAAUCCGGUAUCGCUUCCUCUCCUUUGGUCGAGACUAAUAACCUCGUAUUCCUCAGAGAUCUUUCUUGUUCACUCAUUCCCGUACUCAUAUGAUGACGCAGCUGAAUAGAAUGAAACCUAUUCCGCCACCUCGCAUAUUGAAUUGCGCCUUCUAUAUAUUCUUUGCACCGCUCCGUGGGUCCUAUCCAUUUAACCGAGCCUAUCUCCUCAACUCGAAGAAGAGAUGACGCAAGGGCAGCAGAUCGAAUCGAAGGAGUUUAGCUCGAACCCCGCGUAAGGAUCUUCCCCCCGAGUUUUCUUUGAAUGUGAAUGAAAUCAAGCCUUUUCUUUACUAGCUCAUUCAAUGGUCAAAUCAUCCUGGACCAGUCAAAAGCGAAAUCAGGCAUGAAAGAGCGGAUCGAGCGGACUAGUGCCUCCAUGGCUACCUCGGAACCCCACUUAUGAAAGGUAAAAGGAAGAAAGCCUAUCCGUCUACAGCUCAGUCGAGGGCUUUCCCACUAUUACGACGAAAAAAGCCUGGCCCUCUUCCUCCGUCUCUUCCAAGUCAUCCUACGAGGCUGCGAACGUGCUUUUCUCAAAAGUGUCCUGAGACUGAGAAUGAUCUUUUUCUACUUUCAUCCUAGAACCUACUAUUUGGAAGAAAGCCUAUCUUCCUUCAAGUUCAAGCAGCCUAGGGAAGAAAGAAAGUAUCUCCAGGAAAGCCUAGACACAAAGAACUAGAAAGAAAGGAUAGGCUUGAAUCCCCUAUUAGCCGUUUUUAGGGGUAGAAGGAUCAAAGAAUGAUCGAAGUGGACCUACUAAUAUGAAAUAAAAGGAAGAAAGAGAGAGUCCGACGCGUAGUAGUAGAAGGACGUAGAAGUCCUCCGUAGGAGUCUUAUUCCUUGCCUCCUUCCCCAUAAAGAGUGUUUUUUAGUCACUUUUGGGUAUGGCUGGAUAGGGGUUGUGCAGUCAUUUUUCAUGGAUAAAGAAGUCCUUCGCUUUUUAGUGGAUCUAAUGGACACUCAUCUGGAGCUUGAUUUCUCUUUGAACUUUGCUCCGUCGGAGCGCGGAGGAGGAGGCUCCAUAAGACAGGGAUAUUGUAGGUCCGACCGCUAAAUUCAAUGGACCUAACCUAAUGGAUAGUCAUCCGUCCGAAGUCCGGAGGGCGAGACUGGUCCGGAGGACUUCGGACGGAUGAAAGUAGCUACGUAGUACUCAAAUAUCCUCUUAUUCUACAAAGUCCUUAAGGACUCAAAUUCUUUGAGCGUCCCCAUUUUUUCUUGUCUUUCCUAUGCCUUGAACUCUGAAACUGACUGAACUUUCUCAAUAUUCUUUCGAAAUCUUCUUUGAGCCUUAUAAUUGAGCCGCUCUCGCAAGUCAAAUUCUCUAAUGGAUAGGCCUUCGCAAUAUGCUUUGCGCCUCUCCUCCAAACAGUCCUCGCCCAUGGAGAUGCUCCAACUAACCUCUGCGGUCAGUCCUUCGGACCAGCUGACUAUCCAUUAGAUCCAUUGAAUUUCUUAGAAUGUUCACUAAAAACCGAUGUUCAUUGAACCGCGUAGGAGGAGCAAAGAAUUUGAUCUUUAUCCCAAUCCAGAAAAGUAGGCUAAUCAAUAUAUAAAGAAAAAGAGCCUCAACUGCGCCUAGGUCUGAUUCCACUAAAAAAUGACGACGGAGCACUCCUCCUACGUUUUAAGACUCCUUCCUAUUUUUAGGACGAGUCUGAUUCCAAAAAAGUCUUUAUAUAUUGAUUAGACCACAGGUCCGAAGGACAGACAGGCGCAUUGAAUAGAUUAUGCUGAAGGAGGGUCAAAGAAUAUUUCAUCCUUGCACUCCGUCCUCUUGACUCGUUUUCUCUUCUUAGAUAAAUGCGCUUCGCUUCUCUCAAAUUCUUUGAGCCUACGCUUCUCGAAAAUUUCAUUCAGCCUAGCUGGAAAAAGAAAGAAUCUCAUCGCCUCAAUAUCCUUUGAGCCUUGUGCAAAGAAUAUUGCGAAACCGAUGUUCUAUUGAGACCUUUUGACUCGUUUAUGGAACUGAAACUUUCCGAUGCAGCAAGGAAAAACUUCCUACUCAAGAGCUAUUUGUUGUCGAGCUACUUGUUGUCAGUCUGCCGAAAGAGAUACGAAUUCCGCCGAUCCAAAAGAAGAGAAUGGCGAUCAGAAUGAUCGAAGAAUAUAAUAUUGAAAAGAGCUCGAAAAGUGAAGAGAAGGUCGUACGCCACUGGCAAUCAAAACCAAGUCCCUGGCGGCUGCACUAUAAGAAAAAUGAAAGAAAGAUUCCCGCCCGAACUAACUGUCGACAGCAAGAGGUAGUAACUCGAGCAAGCAAUCGGGGAACCGUAGGAGGCGCACCCAUCUCAUCGCACAAUUCGCAGUUGAGGAUGACUGAGAGAAGGAACCUAACUUCUCUUGCUUUUUCAAAAGAUCAAUCCUGGGAUUUCUCCCCGUCCUUUUUCAUGAAUAUGGAUAGUCAGCUGGUCCGAAGGACUGACCGCAGAGGUUUUUAGGAUCUGUGGAAUCUUUUCUACAUCUACAUUUUUUUGAAGUAAUAGCUAUGAAUAGUCCAAAAAAGAAAGGCGCAAAGAAUAUAUAGAGGAGGAGUCUUAUUCCAAAAAUAGGCGUCCUUCGCCUAAUUCAUAUGGGGAUCUGGACGGCGGAGGAGGAGCAAAGAAUAUUGCCUUCCAUGCCGCUCCGAAGAGGAGGUUCAAAGAAUGAUCGAGGUCCGGAGGACGGGUCGAAAGGUCACAGGCAUUAAAUUAAGGAGAGGUCCUGGAUACGGCGGUGCUGGAUACAGAACAUUACAUGAAGAGCGAAGUAGGGUGGGAAAGAAAGGAAGAGUACGACCGAGACCUAGUUUGCCAGCAGAGUUGGAGGGUCACGACCGACCAGAUUGACCUUCUGUCCCCGCGGGAUUAGAUCUUUCUUUAGUAGCCGCCGUGCAGACUUUAUGGCUUUUUUCUGAAUUUUCUUGAUCCUUCGCAAUAUUCUUUGCGCCUCUUGGCCAUUAAUGAGUCGUACGUAACCACACAAAGAAAAAAGAGAAAGACACCCAUGGGGAAUCCUAAUCCGUCACAGUUGCGGCUUGGAAGCCCACGUAGCGGUGCGAACUCGAAGUCCCAGGAUCAGCUGAUAAGGAAUCCUGAAGCUCAAAUUCAGUCAAGAUGGCUUCUUUCUUUAUCUUGCUUCUUUAAGGAGAAGAAGUGCUUGCCCCUAGCUUGAUCUUCCCCUUCCACUCUGCUCUUAGAAGGCGCAAAGAAUUUGCGAAGAAGGCUGGUUAAUAUGGAUAGGACUGAGGACGGGGGAUUUGAGGAUGAGAUGAUUCCUUUCAUUAUUGCAGCUGCUUAAAAAAAAAAGUGGAAUAUUGCGCUCAUGAUUCCGCUAAAAGUCGCAGACGCUAGGCUCCCAUAAGACUAAAUGUGGGGCGCAGUUGCGCAAAGAAUAUUGCUCAGAUUUUCGGUUCAUCUUUAAGGGGAGCGGGAUCCCCAUUUUUUCUUAGUGGAAUGAACGAGGUCCGGAGGACGGAAUAAAAAGAAGAAUUCAAGGCGCAAAGAAUAUUGCGAGACAAGACUACGUAGCUACUUUCAUCUUCUAUAUUCCCGAACAUAUUAGUGGAAUCUUUUCUACAUCUACAUUCUUAAAAGAAAGCCUAUCCGCUCUGAAUUUGCAAAGAUGUCCUUAGCAAUGAGACCGUCGGAGGCUAAAAUCAAGGCUCCAAAAACAAAGGCGCAAAGAAUAUUGCGUUAGAAAUCGCCUCAAUGAACUUUGCUCCGUCGGCUCCAUAAGACAGGUCCGAAGGACUAUCCAUCAGGAAGGCUCAAAGAAUUAUCUCAAGAAAUAGGAUGAAUACUUUUUCUCAAUAUGAAAAGAGCCUAAUACUUCGGAUAUUGAUAGAUGAAAAAUAGCAUUUUACCAGUCCGAAGGAACAAGAACUUACUAGGGGUCCGACUAUCCACUCUUCCCAUAAAAAUGAAAUGAUCUUGAUUUUCUCGUCUACUUAAAUGAAAGCAGGAACAUAAAAGAAAAGAAAGUUCAGUCAGGAAAGCCUACCAUAACAUGAAAGUGGAAUAACGGGGGGUCAAAUAGGGCUUUCCCCCAUUUCUUUGUUAUCAAAUAGAGUCCAAAUCUAGGAUAGAAGGAGCUCGACUCUUAUGUUAAGGAGAGAGAAAAGAGGAAAGAACUUUCAGAAAACCAUGGGGCUCACUCAAUUGGGGGAUUCCCCCUCACAGCCCACUACGCGCUUCCUUCCCACUUCCAUUCUUCCUUCAUCACCUUCUUUUCAAGUCUUUAUGGUUUUUCAGACACCCCAAGUAUUGUAUCCAUCAAGCCCACUACGCGCUUAGAAUAAGCGAGACCACAUACUAAGAAAGAAAGAGAGAGGCUGACUUCUUUUGUCUUCCCUGGACGGGUGGUUGGAGCCAUAGCCAUUGCUCUUUCAGUUCUGUCAAAUAAAGGGUAAUUCUUUCAUCCGGCCGUAAGCGAAGCGAGGAGGUUCUGUCUUCAUUCCCGCCUAUUCAUACCAACGAGUAGAGUUUCCGUAGUGACUACAGAGUCAUUGAAUGAGAAUUCCCUUGGGAUUUUGAUUAUGAUUUAGCAUGAAUUCGCCCGAAUGAGAAUGCGUGAAGGAGUUCCAGACCGAUCUCCGUCAGUUGAUGUCCCCGUGCGGGGUAGGUUCUGGCUCUUGGGUCCGUACCUCUUGCUUGCACCAGUUGCUCUUUCAGAAAGAGAAUGGAAUGCAUAAAAAAAAAUCUGACUUGGUCUUGAGUGUAACGUCCCUAGUGGGAUCUACGUGUGGAACUGCUCGACCAGAAGAUCAGUUUCAGAAAGACAAGAAGAGAAGAAGAGCUUUCUCAACUUUGCCUAUCUUAUUAUAGAUUCAGAAAGAGAAGACGAAGAAGAACAGCCACACCCCAAUCAAUGAACAAGUUCAGACGAGAGGGAGCCUACGGCAAAGGAUAGGAGGCAAGAUUAUUCCAUAGCGAGCAUAAUAGUACUUUGUCUUAGCUUUCUUUUAAGAAUGUAGAUGUAGAAAAGAUUCCACAGGCUCCAUAAGACAGGUCCGAAGGACUAUCCAUUAGGGGAUUGAGAAGAUUCUUUAUAUAUUGAUUCUUUUAGUGUGGAAGUUUGAUUCGAUCGACCACAGAAAAGCUUACCGAAGAUGGUCGUUCAUUAAGAACGAAGGCAGAUCAAAUCAAGAAGAUUCCUGUUGCGGACGAAAGGUAAUUAUCUCUUGAACCUGGAUUGGAUGAGGGAUAGAUGAUCCCCAGGACUAGAAAGAAGGGAAAGCGUCAACGGAGAUAGGGUCUUUCAGUUGCAUAAGAUAGGGUUGCUGCGUCAUCAGAUCAAUAGUCCGCGCGAACUAGGGUAGAUUUCUUGAAGCACUAGGUUGCGAACUUGAAGCAUGCUGUGCCUUUUCACGGGCUGAAAUUUCUCCUUUUCGGGAUCAAUCGUAUUCCAGACCAGACCGGAUUGAGGAGACCUUUUGAAGUAGGUCAAUCUGUCCCAAUAGAAUGAGAAGGAUUAUGCCCGAGAUCUGCCCACGGAGCGGUGCGAGACAGGACGCGCGCGAGAACUCUAGAUUGAGGAGUGGUCUUUGUCCGAUCUGAAUAUUCAAAGGAAAUGCAAACUGAUCCUUUUCAUCCUUUGAGACUUGGUGCCCUUUGCUGAUAAAUGAGAUCUUUGAAUUUGACAGUCAAAAGGUUUUGACUUGCCUAGGGCAUGACUAACUCCCUAACAAAUGGCGGAGGUUCCAACUUGCUAAUGCAUUCCCCGGGAAAAAGGAGAUUCAAAGCCAGCGCUCGAGUGAGUUUACAAACGAGAGGAGUGAAACCGCAAGACUGUCAAAAUCAAGCUCCAGAUGAGUUGACGACUCGCAGAGGAGAGGAGAAGUGCUUUAUCAAAAUCUUAUUGAAUCUUAUUAUUUCAUUCGCACUUGAGCAGGUCCCCGCUACGCGGUUGGUUAUAAAAAGAUUACGAGAAAUAGACAGAAAAUUUCUUUCUUAUCGAAUUCUAGAUAUUAUUAGAUGCACUUAUAGAUUAUCUUUGAUUUAAGGCCUAAGCUCAUCAUUAAGAAGGAGAAAGAGAAUAAGAGUUCUUGAUCUGAACUUCAGAUUCAUAUCGGAUUAUGAGCCAUUCUUAUAUAAUCCAUUUCAUAUCUGUAUUCAUCGCAAUUCGCAUCUGAAAAUUCAUUGAAUAGGCGAUCAGGCUGAAUUCAUUGAGAAGGGACUGGGAAGGAGCGGAAGACGUAGCGGUGUGGGCGAAGCGAUUCAGGGGAGUGCAAGUGCACACAACAAGGAUAGGAGAGCGAUUAUGAAAUAAACAAGGGCAAAGCCGAAACCUACGGGCAGAGGAUCAGAGUUGGUACAGGGGACGGGUGGUAUGAAUUUCGUUGACUAAUAUAGCAAUCGUUCAGACCAAAAAAAGACGAAAAAUGCAAUUUCCUUAGGACGAAAUUUCUCUUAAUAAGGCCGCCCAGUUCACCCGGAAAUAGAUAGUGAAGACUCAUUCUCAGUAGUAGCCAUGUCUGAAUAAUCAGAGGUAGGAUUCUUCAUAGGCAUCAUGAUUUCCUUUGAUCUGGAGUUGGGGCAGUCUGAGUCCGCUCUUUCUAAGGGGAACAAAGCCUUGAAUGAUCAGUUUCCCGAAGAGUAUAUUCACUCAAUUCUCAAUUUCUAGGUUAGACAAGGAGUUGAGAGGAAGAAAGAUCCCGUAUCUCCACCCGCUGUGCAGAAUCAGAAAUCGGAAUUCGACUGAGUUAGAAGACCAAAUAAGCGGAAGACUCGGUUUAGGAAGCAUGAGAUGAGGAAGGAGGGGCAAUUGAUCAGGGAUACCGGCUAAGUCCUCUUUGAAUUGUCCUCAGGAAUUUUCUAACGGAAGAGUUUGAGAAGAGAGCGAAUUAGUUCAUUUGAGUCAAACCCGGAAAGAAUCAUAAAGGCUAGGAUUAUGAGUGGAAGGCAGGGUCAACUCUCAAGUUUCGGGAUAGGGUCGAUGUAAUUGAGCUUGACGUGCGAUAUAAAGGAGAGGUGCCCACGUGAUCUUUUAUCAAUCCUAUGAGAAGAAGAAGAGAGCGCUCCGGUCCUCUCUGUCUUUGGAUAGGCGGGAUAGGUAUUCUUACUCGUAUUCUCUUGAAUAGGCAGAGUAAUCGUAAUCUUUCUCUCUUUCGUACAAAGGUAAAGCUAGUAAUCUCUCCGUCUUGAACCCACGUAGCGGGAAUCUUCUUUGAUCUUUGAAUUGCUCUUUCCCGAUAGAUAUGGAGCGCGAAGCUGUUACCGAGAACGAGAGGGAUUACUAAGCUUCUCGACCACUAUUCCACUACUAUGAAAAAUGAGUAGGAUUACUCUCGACUCUCCGCAGUCUUCUCGGGUUAGGAGCUGUAUUCUCAGCCCAGACGGCGGGAGAGAAGGGAACCGCGUAGUGGGUCAGAUGCUCGGGUACGGGGAGUCAUCAAUCUGCCCAAGGCUAAUAGCAUGGGAUUCUUAAGACAAAGUGGACCCCAAAGAUAAAGAGAGAAUGAGCGAAGGGAGGAGACAAGACCAGGAGCCCCCACUAACCCCUAUCUAUUCAGGCUUUCUGAUCGAUCGGAAGAAGGAGCGACCGACAUAAAAGAAGGAGAGAUCCAUAAGGAUAGGACAAAGCCCACGGAGCGGGCGAGACUGAGUUCACGAGAAAGAGGGAGCACGUCAAGGAGAGGAGAAAGCGGAGUGGGCCUAGUGGGAUCAGAGUGAAAAGAGUUCUUCCUCUUCGGUCGAGAACCUAUCUGAUCAUUAUAUAGCGCGGCCCUCGUCAUUCUGCUUUGUCAACCUUUUCACGGAUGACUGUGAACCCUUUGCUCCUGGUCGUCAACUCAUCUGGAGCUUGAUUUUGCUUUUCCUUUUGAGUGGGUGGGUGGGUAAAGAAAAAGAGUAAAAUCGAGAACAUAAAGAUCUUAAUCUAUUUAAGAGGAAAUCUUCCUCUUUUUGUGAGGAAGGACAUCAAAUAGAGGGACCUCCUUGGCUUGCUUUCAUCUCAGCCUGGAAUUCCUCAAAUUCCUUCUUUCUUAGUGCGAAUGUGAAAUUCCCCCACGUAGCGCUUAUUCCAUUCCACCAGGAUCUAGCGAAGGAGGAGAGAGCGGCUCUCCGGAGUUAUUCCAUUGGGUAACUGAAAUAGGCUUUCCCCUUAAUAUAAUAAGUGGGGUAGGCGGAACAUCCGAAUGAGAAGGUUUCGGGCGAGUCAGUGGCUGUCUAACCUCGAAAGAGAAGUGAAGUUGACGUAGAAAAAGCUUCGGAUUUGAAUGAGUCUCACUUCAAGAGUCGUCAGUCUGUCUCGGCAGACGGGGAAGAUCAAGAGAGUCUCCCCAUUGAUCAAGGGAAUUCCCAGUACUCAAAGCAAGGGUUAUUCUCAACGGUUCCAUAAGGGAGAAAGAGGAAGCUAGGUAAGAGUCCGCUAGAACUAGUAGAUUAGGAGGGAAUUUCUUCGUUAGCAUCUCGGAUUAGUCAAGAGGAAAUAAGAGUGAGAAUGAUCUCUUUCGACUAGCCCGCUCUCACCCACGGAGCAGUUAAGUUCCAUAAAUCAGUCCAAGAACAAUGAAAAGGAAUGAAAGCCUAGGCAACGGAAAAUAGUAUGAAUCCUUGAAUUGAAAGUCAUAAAAAGAAGACAUAAAGGAAUAUUGCUCGGAGUCCUACGUGCCAAAGAAAGGUCCAGGGUCCGGAGUCCGCAGUCCGCAGGGCCAAAGAAAGGUCCAGGUGAUUUAUCCGUAGGACCAUCCAUAUGGAGGGAAGGAGUCCGGAGGAUUUAUCCGUAGGACCAUCCGUAAUUAACCGAAGUAGUCCGGAGUCCGGAGGAUUCUUAUCCGUAGGACUAUCCAUAUGGAAGUAGGACCAUCCGUAAUUAACCGAAGUAGGACCAUCCGUAAUUAACAGAAGUAGGACCAUCCGUAAUUAACCGAACUUUGCGCCUGGAAGUCUAGUCAAUAUUCUUUGAACCUUCGGACCCCAGGUUAAUAUGUCCUUAUCAAUGAGACCCCUCCCUUAUAAUUGAAGAUCAUCCCCAUAUUCAUUAGGCGAAAGGUGAAAAGAAGAUUUCUGGUAGAUUUCAGACUACGACUGAGGCCUCAAUGCCCACUACGCGGUAAAGGUCAAGACGAUGAAUUCAUAUUCCAUAAAGAGUCAAAAGGACGGAUGCAAGAACAAGAGCUCUUUCGCGCUCCCCCACGCCCAAGGUGGAUCUUUCAACUUCUGCAUCCGGAUCAUGAAACCUAGUUUGGCCGAUUCUUUGUGGCACUUGGUCCGAGACCACCGGUACUUUUUGAUACUAAUUAGACUAAUGGUCAAGCGAGCUCCUUUCUCUCUCCUUCUCCAACUCAGUCGAGCCACUAUUCAACCUCGUCAAACUCGAUAAAGCCACUUCUAUCCUUUCCCGCUACGUGGGCGCGGAUCUGACCUUUCCUCUCCUAGCCUGAUGCUUCAAGUUCGGAACUGAACACAAGAAGAAAAAUAGUUCUUUUGAUUCCCCGCAUAUUUCAUUGCGCCUUCGGACGGACCCUUUCUUCAAAGAAAUCCGACGAAAGAAUUUAUGCUUACUCAAGCAGUUAACAAGAGGUAGUAUGGGGAUGAAGAAGCUCAAAGAAUUAUCGAAGCGCUCGGAAGGUUCCAUAAGACAGGGAUAUUGUGGGCAUGUCCCAGCUAGAAAAAAGAAAAAGAAGAUAGAAAAGACUAUUAUGCCUAACCCGUAAUCUAUCUAUAGAUAUUUAUCCUGAAAAGGGCAAGUCCCAGAUAUAGGAGGACCAAUUCUAGAUUCCAAUCUUCGUCAGGGGCAGGAAAGUGGGUCACAGUGUGUCCUUCAGCAGGCGCCGAUCAAUUCAUUCAAGAUUCCCCAUGAACUAUGAAAUUCAUUCACUCGAAUCACUCCAUAAUCCCACUGGGAGGAAAAGAGAGAGUGUCAAGGGCAGGUUCGAAGCAGCUUGACUUCCCAUAUCCAAUAGGAAGAGUGCUGAGUUAGGAGGUUUCUUCAUUAUUAGCAUGAAUUUCUCUCUGCAAUCUGUGAUUGGUAAAAACUUCCUCUUUGCUUUGGUUUGAGAUCCAUACGGACGCCUGAAUCAAGGCAAUGAAAGAGGUCGGUCGGUCUCGGCCGAGAGGUAAAGGAGAAAGGCUGGCAGUUUCCGCCGAGGUUCUUGUUCCUGCAGUCGUUCGUCUUCUUCGAUCAGCACCGCUCCGUCUUCCUCAAGACGAAAGGCUUAUUUCUGAAUUUAUGGAUCGAAAGAAGCGGCUUUCCCGGAAGGGGUUAGAAUCAAAGGAUUUCUCCUUAAAGGCCUUGUUAUUGGCCUUGGUCUGUAGAUCUGACGAUCGAUACCGAACAACUAAGGAUCUUUCAUACUCAAGAGCAAGCGCCUCAAUGAACAAGGGGUAAACAGCUCCUAGGGCGAUUGAGCGCCCUACGGCUCCCACGUAGCGGUUUGAAGCCUUGUGUUCACAUCUUUUCUUUCUCUUCUUAUCUUAGAGUUGGGACAUUACAAUCUCCUUUUAAGGGAGGCGGUAGAAUAAGUAGUUGAAGUUGCCGAGUCCGUCGCAUAGGAAGAUGCUGGAGAAGUCUAUUUUCUUCUUAUUGAAAGGUAGAGGAAGAAGAAGAAGAAAGCCCACCUUCUAACUAGUUCAUAUAGACCUUUGAAUUAUAAGGGGUCCAGGUCUGAAAAGAAGAUUUCCAAGACUGCCCCCUCCGCGGCUGAAUGAAAUAUGAGAAGGCGCAAAGAAUUUGCGAAAGAAGGCGUCACAGGUCCGAAGGACGGGGAAAUUCAGGCUGAAUGAAUUGAGUGAAAGAUUAGACAUUUGUGGAUGAACUCAUUAACGAUAAUUGUACUUUUUUGACUGAUUUUUCAUGAUUUCUUGCUACUAUAUUCUUUUCAGCUCUCCUUAUCAGUCCGGAGGAUUUCUCCGUAGGACUCUAAAACAAGGCUCAAAGAAUGAUCGUAUUCUUUCAUUCUCAUUUUGUUUUUAGCUUCUUUCAUUAUCGUUAAUGAGUUCAUUCUUCAGCACUUUCUAUUUCUUUCUCCUAAUUUGUAAACUCGAAAUCUGAAAAGAGCCUUUCUUCUUUUCUUAGAUAAAUGCGCUUCGUAGAUUAUGCUGAAGGAGGAGGACCAGCUUAAUAAGGACUUCUCUUUCAAGAUCGGCAAAUCGGUCUCGCUUUGACUUAGAUUAGUAAGAACGAAUAAUCCUACUCAUACAGGAAAGCUGCUGAUAACCUGCCCCGAAACUCAGUAGUUGAGUUCAAAAUACCUCGUUCAAUACCCUUCCCCCAUUGGGAUAGCUGCGCCCUUGAAGACCGAUCCAACUAAGCAGUCCAAAACCUCUGAUUUGGCUCCUACUCCGAGGCAAAGAACUACAAAAACGGAAAAGGGAAUAAAGAACCUACUUAAAGGAACUUACGGCAAUCAAUGAACAAAGGGUUAUGACUUUCUUAUCUUAUUCUUUCUGAACCUACUAAAGAAAGCCGCUACGUGGGGAAGAUAGAAAGACGAAAGGAAGACCUACUUAACCUACUUAAAGGAAGAGCUCCCAAUAAACCUACAGAGGGGAGCGCAAAUCAGAGUCCUUCCCCUAUUAGAUUAGAAGGACGGAAGGAAAGCCUAUCUAAACCUACUAGAGAAAGCCCCACUCCGCGGAAUAUAUGGUAAAGGAAGAAAAAGAGGACAAGACUACUCCGCUACUUUCAGUGGAUAGGUCGAAGGAAACUAAGGAUAUUCUUUCUUCCCGCUCCGUGGGCUGACUUUGGUCCUCCUACGCUUAAGAUGGGACCGGCAAGACCUUCUAUAUAUUCUUUGCGCCUGAGCAAUAUUCUUUGCACCGCGGAGUGCUUUCUUUGCUUUAAUGAAUCAUGACACAAUAUCCCUGUCUUAUGGAGCCUAACGGAGGUUCAAUUCAAUAUUCAUGAAUUCAGGCCUAUCCAUUAGAGAAUUUGACUUGCGAUUUUCGUUUUCGGAGCGAAGGCGCAAUGAAAUAUGCGGGAUAUUGAUUUGAUGAAAUUCCUCUUUUGGAUUGAUUUCUUCCUUCAUUAUGAUGAGGCAUUCAAGGUGCGCGCAGAUGGGAGGCCCCUAGUGCAGGAGCGGAAGGGAAAAGUUAGAAAGAGAGAAAAGCUAAUUCUUCUUAUUUGAAAAGAGGUGGGAAGAAUCUUAUCUGAUUUCUUCUUCUUCAUAUCUUCUUAUAAGUUGAGAAGGGCUCGGUAAGCCACUCGGCCAGCCCUUGCCAUUGAGUCUCUUUAUUAAGUUCUCAUCAGUGGUUAGAACAACCAGUGUAGGAGGAGGAAGCCCCAUCCGCCUUUCAUGAGGCAGAUUCUACAGCGAGGAUACCAUCCCGCGAACUCAUACUUACGGGAAUGGGAGCAAGACCAGACCUUGAAGUGCUUUCAAUUUAUGGAGAAGUUCUUAUCAUAAGUAAGCACGCCCCUCAUCGAAGACUUUUGGGACAUACCGAGAGGAGGGAAAGACGGAUAAAGGGCCAGCCCCCUCCGCGGGAGAGAUCGUCCGCUCUUGGCUACCGAAUUCCAUGCUUUGCCUUCUUUUUUCAUUUGAGAAAGCCGGUUCACAUAAGAGAAAGAAAGGCCUAUUCUCGCGGUGAGUAAACUCCUCAUAAUGGAUCGAUAACUAAAGGGAAUCUCCUGGUCCGACCCCAGUUUAGAUUAGAAUGCACCCAAAGCGAAAAUCCCUACCUACUUUUCGAGGGAAAAUAGAAUCCGCUUUUCGAAGCCCAUUUAUCUAAGAAAAGAAGAAAGGCGGUCGAUGAAAUUGAUCAGAGAGUUUACAAAGUAUGAAAGGCUGGAUGAAUGAGAAGGGAGUCUGGUGCAUGGGGCGAAGGAGAGGGAAAGAUCAGAGCUUUCAAAACUUAUAAGAGAGAAAGAUCAGAGAGCAGAAGUCAAAAGAAAUCUUUAGAAUAUCCUUCUCACGCAAACUCCAGUUCUUCCCGCGGAGUGGGCUUACUUCUCUUCUGAUUUCUUGAGCAGUUUCGAUCAGAAGCUCGAAGGACUUCUUGCCUAAUCAUCUUUCGAUGUACCAUUUUUAAGCCACUUUUCUAAGAAAUGAAAUGGAUCUAAAUCAAUAUAUAAAGAAUAGUAGCAAUAUUCUUUGCGCUCAUUGAUAAGGGCAAUAUUCAAAGCUUUGAGCAAUAUUCUUUGUCAAUAUUCUUUGAACCUCUGGACUAUCCCGCGUAGUGGGAUUCUUUGAGCCUCCUACGCAGCUUAAUAUGUGAGCGGGAGGGGUCCGUACUUUCUCAGUGGAAUGAAGAUUAACAGCUAUUUUUUUCCAUUAAUCAGUUGCACUCCUCGCAAUAUUCUUUGCGCCUUCUAUCCUGGAAGUCUUGGAAAUCUUCUUUGAACCUUCGGACGUCGCAUAUUGAAUUGCGCCUCCGGACCACUAUUUAAUGAAUAGCGAAUAGUCCUUCUCUCAAUGAACUUUGCUCCCCGUCGGCUGAAAUUCAUAAAGAAUGCUAAGCUAAUAUGGAUAUAAAGAACGACUAAGGACGGAGGCUCAAAGAAUUUGAAAAUCAAGGUGCAAAGAUCUAUGGCCCACGUAGCAGGAUAUUGUCUGACUCCGGACCGGUCGGACUCCCAGAAAGAAGAAAGAAGAAGAAAGUACGAAACCUAGCUUUUUAUCUCAAUCAAAGUGCCAAGAGAAGAGGCGAGAGGCCUUCUUUCUCAGAUCAUGUGAUAUUCACUUCUCGAAGAACAAGAACUUCUACUUCAAGAACCACUGAUUUCUAUCCGGCUUGGGUAGCGGCCGCGAGUGCCAUAUCUCUUGGAUCAACAAAGCUCUUUCAUUAGAAAUUGGCUAUGCAUUCAGGGUCUUCUCGGGAGAGGUCUUAUCCCACUUGGUACUGCCCGAUUUCGUUCCCGUCCGAAGGCGCAAAGAAUAUUGCCCAUAUGAACUUUCUUCCAUUUAAGUCUAUAAGGGAAUAAGAAGCUAAAGUGCGGCUAGACCUUCACAAACUGGACCUGUGGGUAAAAACCGCUACGUGGGACCUAUCGAGUCCAGCUAUGCUGAUUCGGUCAAGGGAAUCCAGACUAUUUAUUUCUUUUUCAGUCAAAAGAAGAUCAAGCUAGGCGCCCAGUAUGAAGGAAUGUAAUAAGUUUAGAAUCUUAGUCAAGAGUCAAGCGCGAACGAGAAAGAUCUCGAACUCAUCAUUCUCAGUCGAAGGAAAGAAGGCACCCAAUACUGAGGGUACAUGGCCAGCUACAGCUAACCGGAGUGGAACUGAUUUUGGGAGAGAAUAGAGAAGCAUAAUCUCGGAAGAGGACCAUACGUACUACGGCAACGGCCAAACAGAGGGCAAGAUGGUGUCUUUGCUUUGAAUAGCUCAACUGCUUUCGGAAUAUAGCUCAACCCACUACGCGGUUAUGAAGUUGAGGAAUAAGAGGCUGGUUGCCACUUCGGUGUCCAAGCUUGCCGCACAAGGACACGUUUGACACGUCCGAGAAAUGGGUUUAUAGGACCCGAGAAAGCCCCACCUGUGGAAUCCGUUGAAGAAGCAAAACAAGGUGCAAUGAAAUAUGCGUUGACUUGAGUCGAGUUUGACGAAAAUGUCAAUUCCCCACGUAGCGGUUUUUGAUAGCUGGGGAAGCAAGAAAAGAUGUAUGUCUUUUGGGUUCAUGUCUUUGUUCUCAGUGAGGAAGCUUAUUUUAUUCAGCUUGCGGCACCGGUAUGCCAGGUUCAACCCUCAUUCUCUCCUCGCAUGCUUUUUCUAUUGCGUCAGUCUUUCACAAAUCUCCUUCUUUAUGUAGAUAUAAAGGGUCCGUUGCACGGAGGGCUAGUCAGAUAGCUUCCUCAAGGAUUUCUGAGGAAACCGCCUCAAUGAACAAGGGGCAGAAAGAAAGGGAUGCCUCUUCUCAAAGUAGGCCUUUCGCCUCUCAACUCGGAAUGGACGAUCCGACGACCGUUGGAGAUUGUAAUCUUUCACGAUUCAGAUUCCCCUUUUCGAAAUCUUAUUUGACUGGCAGGAAAUCGUAGAUUUGCACUUUCAUCACUCCGAACUUGAUCCCGCAGCUUUCUUUCUCUUUCAGAUAUAAGAAGAUAUAAGGGAAAAGUAGUGCAGGUCGAGUUCUCUACGGUAGGCUUUCUUCUUUUCUUGUAUUUUUUCUACCCGUACUCAGCAAGAAAGUCGACAGACGCGCCCCCACCAGCCUUUGUUCAUUGAGGCGAGGCGCAGAAGAUGAUCGGGGCAGCACAGCAGGUUCAAAGAAUAUUGAAUUUCAUGAUCUCUGGUAUUUGUAAUAUCUGUCCUAAUUGAGAGUGUAAAGAAAAUGAACACCUCUACUUUUUAAGAGAAAGGUGCGUAGCUGCGAGUAUUUAAGAGAAAGAGAAUUACUUAAUUAUGACUUUGAUCUUUUAUUUUAAGUGCUUUCGUCUUAUUUUUAGGUUUAGAAGGCGCAAAGUCGCAUAUUUCAUUGCGCCGGAGGACCACUAUUUAAUGAAUAUGGGGAUCUGCUUCCUUAUAAUGGAUAGGACUGAGGCGCAUCAAAAGGUUGAGGAUGACCCUUGUUUUUGAAAAAAAUAUGAUGACUCAAUUCAUUCAGCCUUAAGAGUCGCUUCGCUUCGCGCACCUGGUCCGAAGGCUCAAAGAAUUUGAGGCGCAAAGUUCGGUUAAUUACGGAAAGUCCGGAGUGAAGUAGGACCAUCCGUAAUUAACCGAAGUAGGACCAUCCAUAUGGAGGGAAGGAGGACUAUCCAUUAGAAGGCAAGAAUAUACCUCUCUUUCUCCGGACCAUAAACUCAAACUAGAAGUGAUCAAUGUGAAUUUCUGGGAUAGGCUUUCUUCUUUCAUUGCCUUUUCCCGGCUUUUUUGCUUCUAAAUGUGACUUUUGUUAAUCUUGAUAUUUAACGAUAAUUGAGUGAAAAACAAGGCAUUUGACUUGAUUUCUUGCUACUUCCCUAUGGGCAAAACCUAGCAUUUUCUUGUAUUUCCCUCCGUAAAAACAAGGUUAUGAAAUCAGAAUUAUUCUUGAAUUCGAGUUAAUGAACUGAUUUUCUUUGAUUGACUUUGAACAGGUCCUUCGGCUAGGCGCAAAGUUCGGUUAAUUACGGAUGGUCCUACGGAUAAAUCACCUGGACCUUUCUUUGGCCCUGCGGACGUAGGACUGCGGACUACGGAUAAAUCCUCCGGACAGGUGACGGGGGAUUUGAGAUCAGGUCCAUAUUCACUUCUUUAUAUGGCAUCUUUCUUCAUAUAUUCUAUUGCAAAUAUAAGCUUGAUAAUAGAUAGCGCUUUCCUCAACAAAAGCAACUUUCUCAACCUCGGCCGCAAGAGAUCCCGCAACGGACCAGCCGUAGCCCUUGAUGCUCUUAGUGGAGUUGAAGCAAGAAGUCAAAUCACAUUACCGAAGAGAAGAUUACUCGUUUGGUCCAAAAAGAAAGGUCUAGAUGAGCCGGGUUGAACGUGUAAUCCCUUCCUUUAGUGGAAUCGCUAAAAAUCAGUCAAAUGGUACAUGUCCCGUGGGCGUGAGGCCUGAGAUCGUGCGUUUGGUCUAGGUCAAUAUUCUUUGAACCGCUCCGUGGGGCUAAGAGAUUAUUGAAUUAACGACUUCUCAAGAAAGGAUUUAGUUCCAACAAGAUCCAGUCCGGAGGACUAUCCAUUAUCAGGGCUUAACGGACGGCGUCAACAACAAGAACUGGGACAACGGAUGGCACACUCUCAACAUCUGGUCGAGCUACUUCCGUCCCUCUUAUGGGGUUAGCUGGCCGGCCCCUAAAGUCUUCUUUGUUCUCGAGUGGUCGAGCAUAUUCUUUUAUUCCGGCCUACUAAUUCAUAGUCUUUAGUUCUACGUAAAUUGAAGAAAGAGUUCUCUCACGGAAAGAUCUCAUUCUGCUGCCUAUAAUCCGAUAGAAGAAAUGAACAAGAACUCCAACUUCCCCCGAUACUUACAGUCGAGCAGUUGAACCCCGAUACUGAAUCUUCGCCAAUAGUUAAGUCCUCAACUGAGCUGUCCUACUCGCUCAGUCUUGUAAUUGACUCUUUCCAUGAACUUUGAGUUCUAAUCUUCCUUAUCAAUGAUCUUUGCUCCUCCGGACGACUCCUUCUAUCCUAUCCUUAUUUUACUCGAAUUAAUUAAUUCAUUGAUCAUGAAAAAAGAAAUCGGAAAUCAAAGCAAUAUUCUGAGCGCCUUGCCGCGUGAAACGUGUACGUACAAUAAGGCCUUCGCUAAAUCCGUCUCUUUGGGUCCACGUAAAUUGAGACUGAGGCUAAAAGCAUGGCUUUCCAGGCUAAAUCCUUUGACUUAGAUGUCUGAGUUUAUCCCAUACCAUAGGCUUUCUCUUUCUGGGAGUCUGAAUGGCUUACCGCUGCUUCCUUGAGUUCCUGGGCCUGCAUGCCUUUCACUUCUACGGUGGAUCCAAGAACAUUCAGAUAGGUUGCCCUAUCUCUACAGCCCCAGCAGCUCGUCUGACAACCUCCUUACGCUUCCUCUCGCCUUCUCUGGCCACAUCCGAGCUAAUGAGCGUGCGUAGCUUACGCUGCUCGUCGUCUGUGAUCUGAAAGAGAUUGAUCAGCGUCUCGUUCUUGGGGGUAUACAGCGGAGGUAGCUCACGGCCUCCGAACGAUACCUUCCCCAGGCAAGAAAAAGAGAAAGAUCGACAUCUCCAUAUGGGCCUCUUCUCUCUUUGAAUUGGACUCCUUAAGACUGAAUUCCAUCCGAUCCUUUAUCUUAUUUAUGGUCGAUCCCUUCUUUCUCGACUUCGUGACCUGUCAAACAAAGGUCCAGGCUCAAUGUCAAUUUCGGUUCAUUUUGAUUAUCGAUCAUUCUUUGAUCCUUUCAUUUCGAUCAUUUCAAUCUUCUUUGAGCGAUAUAAGGACCAUAUUAACCUGUCGUCCAGGUGACUGAUUUUUAUCCAUAUUAGAAGUCAAGACGUUCAGAUUUUCGGUUCAUUUUCAGGCUAUUUUCUUUAUCAAGCUUUAUCAGUCCGAAGGACUAUCCAUUAGACUGCACCUCGCAAUAUGCGCCUGGACCUUUGUUUUUGAAGAAAUAGGAUGACAGAAGGAUCAAUGAAAUUUGAUGAGUUUGGUCCUUCAAAGUCGCAAUAUUCUUUGCGCCUUCGCCUAACCUCUGCGGUGAGUCCUUCGGACCAGAUGAGUUUCACUCAAUGAAAAAUCAAGGUCAUCUUCAACCUUUUUUUUGAUGGGCCUCAGUCCUAUCCAUAUUAACCCAGAGAAGGAGAGGAGCGAAAGCGGCUCGCUCGCAAUAUUCUUUCAAUUCCACGCAAUAUUCUUUGCACCUUCUACGCGGUUUCUGCAGAAAAGGUCGAAGUUGAGAAUGUGGUUUUCUUGUGGCAAAGCCAUUAUUCAUUGAUUUUCUAUGCUGAACGAGAAGAAAGAAAGGCACUCUACGGAUUGCAAAAAUCAUCCUAUAAUCAGUAUUAGUUCUGGGACACUCCCAACAGCUUAGCGAACUGCUCGAACUCCCCACCACCAGCAUCGGAUGAAGCCCACGUAGCGGUAAAGGCAAGGAUAGGGGAGGGUAGCCGAUCGAUAGGAUAGAAGAAGCUUAACUGUGUAGAAUAACUGAGAAGAAAGAGAGGGUAGCUCGACAAGAUAAAGAGGUACCUUUAAGAGGAAGCUCAGAAGCUUAUUAUACUGAGUUUCGGUGUGAACUACCUCACGUAGUAUCUUUCUUUCGUUAUGCAAUAGACCUACGGUAUCGGGCAUCAUAUGCUCUCAGGGCCGAGUGCGGGUUUAGAGUAUUCUUAUGGUAAGAAGACAAGGCGUCACAGGUCCUCCGGACUGCGACUGAGGACGGGGAAUCUUGCUGGAAGAUUUCCACCUUCUCGCACUUUGCGCCUCCGGACGGGAAGAAUUUGAGGGGAGAAGGAAUAAAGAGAAAGCCUAGCUACGUGGGCCCCUAGCUUGAAGCUCUCCUUUCUUAUUGCUAGGGCGGCACUCAUCAUUCUAUUAAGUUACUAGUGGAAUCCAAGAGUCAAAAUCAUCAGAAUGGUGGUACAUGUACCAGGAUUCAUCCUUUUAUUAGAAGAAAAUCCUUUUCAAUCUUCUUUGAACCUUGGAAUGAAUAAGGAAGAGCUUACCCGAUGAGGCAUCAUCCUCUCCUUAAACCACUUAUUCCACUCGCAAAUUCUUUGCCCGAAAGAAAAGAAACUGCAUCAAGCUUAACUUCUUUCUGACUUUGAAAUCGGGAGCUUGAUUUUUCAUUGAGGCGGUCCCAGUUGUCAACUCAUCUGGAGCUUGAUUUUUCAGUUCUUCUUUCUUUUUCUGUUUAUGUCGCUGUUGAUCUUGUAGUUUCUUUGUUGAUGAGAAAUCUUGCAUCCUUUAGCUUAGCUAGACGAACCUGAUUUCAUUGACUUUGACUGAUCGAUGUUCUUGGUAGGCUUUCUCUUUCUGCCUUCUUUUCUUCUUUUUUCAUUUCCUCGGAGGCCUAAAAAGAAGUGAAUCUAUCUGGAAGUGACUCCGCUAAGCCCGGCCCUUUCUUUUCUAGGCUAGAAAGCCCUAGAAAUCAGUCCACUAGAAAGGGAUUCGUGAACAAGAGCAGCGGAAAUGGAAUAGCUUAUAUAUAGAAAUCAUUUCCCGUUCGCUCUUCUUUAAAGAGUUUAAAGAACUGGGUAGGGUACUCGAUGGCUAUUGCGCUUAUUCCUCCCACUUGGGAUACCAUACCGAUUAUCGAUUCUGAACUUAAUAAGGAUAAAAAGUCAAGAGCUCCAUCCCAGGGGUGUAUGAAAAAGUCACACCGCUCACUAAUCAAAUGCUACCCACGUUCAGGCUUUCAAAGCGCUGAGUCGUGAACAGGAAAAGCAAUGACUUCUUCCCUUCCUAAAAAAAAUGGGCUUAGUCUUCUUUCGUAGAAAAAGAAAGCUCCAGAUGAGUUGACUCGACCGCAUACAUAAGAAAGAGAGGGGCGUAGCGAGAAGACUAGGAAUUGAACUGAUAGUUAUCUACGAGCUCUUGCCACUCUACUUCUUCACUUUUGAGGAAGGGAGAAUCAUCCAUAAAAGCUGUGUUGUGUAAGUCGUGUCCUGUGCUUUUUAAUGUCUUUCUUCCGUUCCGGAGUGGCUAACUAGACCCCGAUAGCGCUAUCGCUAACCCGCUUUCUAUCAGCCUUUAAGGACCUUUUCAAGAUUGGAUUAGUGGAAAUCCCCCCCCAAAAAAAAAGCAUACUUCUUAUAAGAGCAGUCGUAAGGUAACUUUCAAGUUCACCUCCAUAGUCGUGAAUCUAUGCACAAAGACUCCUCGUAAGGAUUUUCAAAGACUGAUUCACUUCGAGGUGCGGCGCGAGCUAAGCGAAAAAGUCUUACCAGAAUACGAAUUAUAUAAGAUGCAGCAAAGAAAGCAGACUUCUCCUUUGACUACAAAGUAAUACAGCUAUUGGGAUAGAAAAUUGCAUUUCCUUGAUGCGGCAACUCUCUAUUAGCUACAUAGACCCAACGGUUAGCUAUCUUAGAAAAACCUUUCUGACUCUUGGUGGUAUCGUAUAUAAGAGAAAGGCUGCAUUUAGGAGUGAUCUUUAAGUGGAUAGGUCGGACCAGAUCUAAUGCCCAAGUCUCCCCCUGGGCAAGAAAUGGUUAUAAACUUACAAGGUCAAUGCACCCCCUUCUCCUUCCCCGGAACACUUUAGACAAAGUUCUAAUGGAUAGUCCGGAGGACCACGGAGCGGUCGGAAAUCACUCUCUGUCUAAAGUAAGGCUCGAUGAAAAAAAGAAUUCCUACAGCUAAGUUCACCUCUCUUUUUCUAUGUACUAUGCAGCCUGCUAUUCAUUCUUUUCAGCCUUUUGCCGCUCCUCACUUAGGCCGACAAGACAUCAAAUCAAGAGGAAUCGAGAAGACUAAGUGGCACUUUCUUUCACUCAAAGAAGACCCUAGCAACUUGACUAACCCUAGCUAGAUUACCAAAUCCCAUGGAAUCUACUCCUAAUGCCCAACCCACCAAGACCGCUUAUGUCAACCGAAGCAAAGUCAAGGUAAACCGAAGCAAUGCCUUAGCCAAGACCUCUUGCCAAUUCCCAGACCAGUGUAGGCUUGCUUCGCAUAGGCUACACAAGCUAGGUUCACGCUUUCAAGCCAGAGCUAGUCUUCUUCCCACUGACCGCUACUAAUAAGAUAAGACGAAGCAGUACCCACUAGUAGGUAGUGCCUUCCUCCAACGGAUAGGGGUUCAAUAGCUGCUAAUUCUGUCACAGCUUCUUCAACUCCCCCAGGGACCACGGAGCGGUAGCAGGAAUAGAUCUACUAGGCCUUGAGUCGGGUUUGAACUCCUCUCCUCUCCCUACGGUCGAGCUAUUUCAUUCCUCUCCCCCUUCUCUUUGGUUCUGCCUUUAAGAGGCCUUACGAGGGAGAAUUUCCACUGUCAAUAUUCUUUAGUAAGAUACGAAAAGAAUCCAGUCAAUCUGCGGCUCGAUGAAAUUGAGAAGGAGCGCCCACGGAUGAAAUAUUCUUUUCACCUAUUGUAAGGGUUUACGUGAGGUUCGAGAAGUGAGUAGGCUAGGAAGGAGAAUACCCUGACUGAGGACAAAGGCGAGACCUGAUAUGAUAUCCCAAGAAGUUACCUUUAGGCGGCCUGUAUCCGCUUCUCAGACGACUCGGUAAUGUGCACCAAAAUAGGUCUUUUUUCAUAUUCCCCCUAGUCAUGGGACUAUGCUACAAGGUCCUAAGCCGCUGGCUAGCUCGACCACUUUCCCUACGUUAGGGAUCGGGAGCAAGGCCUACUUCCCGGAUAGUCGGACCCCAUAUAAGAAUGUAUUCAAGAUUCCACUUUGUACGGACUUGGAUUAGAGACCUGGCAUUUGAAUGUCUGUAGGUUCACCUAUUUAGGUGGUUAUCUAGGUAGUGAUGGUAGGGUCUGGAACAAUCGGAGUGCUUAGAAGGAAGUGCUCUGGAAAGGGCUGGUUCGAAGAAGCGAGACUGUCAAAAUCAAGGUCAUCUUCAACCUUUUUUUUGAUGCGCCUCAGUCCUAUCCAUUAGACUGCCUUGUAGUCGGCCGGUAAACGUAUGGCAGAGUAUCAACCUCUUGAGAAGAAGAAGAGACCUACGGCAACCUACUUAACUUAAAGGAUAAAUAAGGGUCAGGACGUAUUGAUGAUGACGAAGACGGCCUACGGAAAGGAAUGAAGGAGUCAAAAGGACGGAGGCAAGGUGCAAAGAUCUAUGGCCCACCCACCAAUUAUAAGGGGUCCAGAUGAGAGACAGGCGCAUUGAAUAGAUUAUGCUGAAGGAGGCUCAAUGUAAUAUGAGUUGAGAAAGGACUUUCUUUAUAUAAGAGAGAAAGAAUUGAAUAAAUAGAAUAAUCAAAGACGACUCCUUCUACGGGAGUGCAAAACGGGGUCUUUCUUUCCUUCUUUUUGAAAUGCAUGAAUAAGAGUUAGAAAAGAGGAUCGAUCACUUUCGGGUCAAGAUCUAACCAUCAGAUAAAGGCUAGGAAAGCUAUCACUUUCUUCGCGGGGAAAGCAAGAACUGUCUGAUAAAGGCUAACUAAGUCGUAAUUCAGAUAGGAUGAAAUAGGGAAAGUCAGGAAUAGACCUUGAAUUUGACGGAUGCAAGUCGGACAACUGCUCUAACCUUUCUUCUAAGGCGGAUCCAAGCUUCGCCUUUACUCUUGACCAGCUACCGGCAGAGAAAAAGCUUGCCUCACAGGUACCGAAAGGGCGAGUUCUAGGUCCAUGUCGGAUUAGGAGAAAGGCUCACCCCUUGAAGUUGUGUCCGCAUACAGGCGUCGAUAGAGUAGCAGCCUCGUCCUGGUCCAUAGAGGGUAUCUUCUCCUCUGUUCUUGGGACAUGAAAAAUGUCCUGUCGGGUCCUUGACCGCAUCUUGGGAGAACUGGCCUGUGGUCUUUCUUGCCCUGCCUGUCUGCUUGCUUACACAGUGCGACGGAAUCCUUUGCUUCUGGCAUUCCUUCCGGCCCAGAUGGGCCCUGGAAGCAGGGGGUACAGGGGUUUUCCUUCCAUAACCGGUCAUUCCCUUCCAUUUCUUUUCUUUUUUGGGGUACGGGGGAUGAGCUAAGAACCAUGCAUAUAAGGUGCUGUGGGCCUAUCGCCCUCGCGGAGUUCCCCGCAGCCGCUCGUCAUACCCACAAGAGAAGGAGUAGGACGAGAGAACUGACUUCUUCAGUCUCAUAUCCUUUUUUCUGCUCUUCUUCAAUUAGAAAGCGGUGCAUUUCUUCUUCCUUUCUACUUAAAAGAUUAUAUAGAAAAAAAAAGAGUCUAAAAGAUUGUCUAUUCGAUGUCUGUAAUCAAGAAAAAUGAUGAUGAGCGAUCUAGCUUCUUCAACAUAGAAUGACUAAGAAACUGAUUGAUUUGAUUUUGACAGUCUCUCGCAAGCCAAAGCAAAGAAAAGAGAGAAUUGCAUCAUAUCAAGAAAGAUGGGAAUCUAGUGGAUGCCUUUACCUGCUUUCCUGAACCGGAUUGCUAACGUGCUUCGAUAAGUCCGAUCUCAGUCCUAGCCCGGAAAGGAGGGUUUAUGCCUCAUUUGCAAGGCAAAGAUCCCAAAUAAGAUAAGAGGAGCUUCAAAAUAGCUUAUAUGUAGAUUCAUGCACUCAAAAUUUCAUGAAAAAGCUAGCCGAGGGUUCGUUCCGAAGUGCCAAACCUUCGUGGAUUGAUCGAGUGUAGUGCACAUUCAGUUAGGUGAGAUUUUCUUAGUCUUCCAGUGUGCGAAGAAAAGAUUUGAGAUUUCAGCCUGAACGAGACCUUCGCGCGCUAACUUAUGUCAAAGUGAUGCGCCAACGUCUGCCUUGAGUCAAAACUCGCUUUCAAUCCUAAUUCGACAUCACGGAACCUGAAUUUGAGAAUCGGGUGCAGACUAGAGGUAACUCAAAGCCCUAUCCUAUCCCGAUCUCGGUCUCGGAUGAGGCGGUCAGAAGAUUCGGAGGGUGAGCUGCCACCGGUUCUCACCCCCAAGACUAGUACGGUCAGCACGACAACCUCUCGGAAUCAGUCAUACUUUUUUUGACUAGGUUAGAGAAGAUAAUGGGAAGACUAAUUACUAUCGUAGAAAGCACCAUAUCCACCGGCAUGUCUGCAAUGCCUUCGGCAUUCCUCCAAUCCCAAGUAGCUCCUUCGUUUUCCUACAAUCCUCCUUUAAUUAGUUCUCCCAUAUCCGCCCCGAAAAUCAGAUUCACGCAAUAUUCUUUGCGCCUUUCUUUUUGGAGUAUUAAGACCGCGGGAGGGGUUUGUUUGACGGACGAAUUCAUUCCCGGAUAGAUAAAUAGAAUAGAUGGAAACCCCAGCAAGUAGCAAAGCACAACCCCUCGCAAGUUGCUGCAUCGGGCUUUCGCCCAUUUAUACCAUAACCAUAAAGUGAAUGAAUUUGCAUACGAAUUCUUAGAAGAAGAACUUCUGCCUACCGCCUCCGCUACGGAUACUUCCUCUGCUUCAAGAGCUGAAACUGAGACAGAUUCCUUGUUUACGGGAAAGCUUCUAACCUACCUAUGAGAAUAGGAGUCAUAAUACCUAUGUAAACUAAGCAGAAAGGGCACGGUCUGAAGCCGACCGAAAGAGGUCAAGCAGCUGAAACUAGGGAAUCAUCACUCUCCAACUCAGCCUAUCCGGCCGGUAUUCCUAUCCUCUCCUUAAUAUUCAUGAAACUCCGCAGUCGAUACUUCUUAGUCUAUAGUCCUUCUUUUCCCUACUCUGCCUAUGAAAGGGAAACUGAGACUUCCGAUCUAUCUCCUUCUUUCUAAACCUAAUAAAUACUCAGAAAAGAAGAUUUCCGGUUUAGGGUCGCGGGUUAGCUCAUAGUUGGAUCGGUAGCAUGUUAGAAGUUAUGGUUUCUAGAGUCAGACUGUAGUAAUGGGACUAGUCUGAUGAUGGAAUUUCCUAUUUUGAUUCCGGAUUAGGAUUGCUUGUGCGGAUUCUCGUUCUCAGCACCGGUUCCACCCCCGCUCCGUCUUCCGCCUGAAAUUCAUGUAUAGGGCUCGUUCGUUCACUCGGAAGCAUGCCAAACUAAUCUCGUCUCGUAUAGAAAGAAAUCCCCCAAUUCUCUGGCCUUUUCGGGUUCAAAGAAGAUUUCAGGAAGGAGAGGCUAGGUUAAUAUGGAUAGUCCUCCGUUUUAGAGUCCUUCGGUUAAUUACGGAUGGUCCUACGGAUAAAUCCUGCGGACUGCGGACCCUGGACCUUUCUUUGAUGGUCCGAAGGCGCAAAGAAUAUAUUUAGAGUUUACAAAUUAGGAGAAAGUGCUGAAGAAUGAACUCAUUAACGAUAAUGAAAGAAGAAAAAAAUGGGAAUUCAAAAUAAAGAGGUGAAUAUGGGAGAUUUCAGACAUCGAUUUUAGUCUUUUUGACGGAGUGAAUUCCAUGAUUUUGCUAGGUUUUGCCCAUAGGAAGUAGCAAGAAAAGACAAAAAAUCAGUCAAAAUUGAUCUAUUUUCGUUAAAUAUCAAUCUUCGAAAAAGUAUGAAAAAGAAGCAAAAAAGCCGGGAAAACGCAAUGAAAGAAGAACUCCUAGGACAGGGAAAAGAAAUGAACAGAGUUUGAUUAUGGUUUCUGGUCCGGAGAAAGAGAGGUCUAUUCUUUAUUUCACUCCGUCUUCAAUCUCAAAAUCAAUGAAGGAGUACAAUGAACAUCAUAAUUCUUCUUUCAUUCUCGUUAAUGAGUUAAUUAUUCUUUUCUUUUCUUGACUUUUCACAGGUCCGAAGGACUAUCCAUAUUAACCCGUCUGUCCGGAGGACUGGUCCGAAGGCUCAAAGAAUUUGAGGAUAAGGGAUAUUGUAAGAAUAUUGCGAGAGCGGAGGACUAUUCGCUAUUCUAAAACCGGGGAGCCUUCUACUCCAAACCUACUAAAUAGCGGGACUUCUUCAUUGAUUGUCUUCAUCUUCGAUUUGAGGAUGGAAAGAGGCUGAAAGGUUUACUCACUAAUAGACCGGCCCAGUUUCAUUCAGUAGUUGGGGACAAGUGGACUAAAUUCAACUUUUCACGAGACCGCUAAGAUUAAGCCAGGAGUGGGAUCAUCCGCUUGGGUUAGGAGUCUUGCAGCAGGCCUUCUUCCUUGCUCUUGGUCUUGCAAGAUAAGAAAGAUAUCACGAUCCUGAUUCCAAGGCUAAUAUCAAGCCUUUUCAUAAACAAUGAGAUUCAAAAAUCAAUAAAGAAAGAACCAAUGUGAAAGUCAGAAAAGGUUCAAAGGGCAAUAUUGCGCCUAUCCUUCAAGAACAAUGGCCAGGACAAAGUAGCUCAUCUGGGACAACUACAUCGACGGCUAAAGCAACUACAAAAGAAAGAAGGGGUCGAAGACUUAUGCAUAGACCUGGAUCUUCCCUCCUCUCUUCUGGAUGGGGUCCUAGCCCGUCUUGUCGACUUUCCUCUUUCAGUCUCUCAUGCAUGAAAAAAUGGAAUGAAUUUGAUCGCCUCCUCUUGAGUCUGAACCGGAGGCAAGGAUCAAAGAAUUUGAAGAAGAGAAGAUUUCCGCUUUCUUUUUCGGGGCAUGAUUCUCUCUGCCCAAGGCGUCUGACUUUUGGAGAAACUCGUAGACAGUGCCUUUCCUAUCAGAAUAAUGGGCACAUUCAUACUUUGAAUUCAUCUUUUCUCGUAUUUUCCAUCCAGCCUACAAGGCUGUCCAUCAAGAAUGGUGAGUAGUUUGUUCAUCUCUUGCUCAGCUUCCUCUUGGUGGAAAUAGCUUGAAGAGCUUCUUCUUUCCCGCUCCGUGGGCUCGUCAAUGACCCAAAUAUCAUAGAAAUUCUUAGCCCCCGAGAAGUCGUUCUUUCUGUGCCCUGUAGAAUAGACCCGUAAUACCUUUGAUAGCAUCUUUCUAGGGUCUUUUCUUCUGGAGGAAGACUCGUUUUCAGAGGCCUGUCCGCAAUGAGGUUUACCGCGAGCCAGUCGAGUAGUAGAAACUUCUCCUUUCAUUCUUCUGGAGCGUACUCUUUGGGCCUCCCCUUCAUAAAAAAAAAGAUAAGAAAUCAGACUUGGAAUCAGUCUUUUCCCCCGCUACGUGGGCUUGCGCUCCUGCUGUAUGUCGCCCCACAGCUGCUUUAUGCUCUGAUAUCUUGACCAAAGCACCUUUCCCACGGGGCGGUGCUCAUCCUUUACGACGUCGAACCAGUCUGAAUACGUGGAGAGCUUCUGCAAGAGCUCCAGUCUCACUUUUCUCUUUGACCUUGAUGAAAGAUUGAAUGAAAGAGAGGAUAAUUCUAGCAUUCCCCUUUUCCGCUCAAUGAACAAAGGCGCAUAUUGGUCGAUUGUUCAAGAUUUUUUCAUUCAUCCAGAGCUUGAUUUUAGCUGCGUCUUUUCCCUGUCUGACUCGUAAACUCUCUUCCUCUUCUUCAACAGAUAAUGACUCUCAAUAUUCUUUUCACCCCGUCCGAAGGACUAUCCAUUAGGGAAUAUUACUUCUUAUUGUGCAAAGAAUAUUGCGUCGAAAGAAUAUUGACAAGACUGGAAGGAUAGAAGAAUAUUGCAAAUAAAGGCUCGGCUUUCUAUUAAGGAGUGCAAGGCGCAAAGAAUAUUGCCGCAUCUUUGCAACAACCCACGGAGCGGUAAGCCCACUACACGGGAAGAAAGAAUAUCUUUAGCUGGCGUGAGAAAGCGGAAAAUUUUCUGACUCAUCGAUCAAUAUCCGAAGUAUUAGGUGCAAAGAAUAUUGCGUGGAAAAAAAAGCUGUUAAAUAGCAGCAUAAAUAAGGAGUCGAUCAAAUUAAGGCUUCGGACCGCUCCAAAAAACCUCUGCGGUCAGUCCUUCGGACCAGCUGACUCUACCCUAACGUUAGGAGCUUUGAAUAAGACCGCGUAGUAUCCAUUAGAGAAUUUGACUUUGCGUGAGUUCCACUUUUUAUGAGAAUAUUGCGUAAUCAGUCCGAAAAUCAAUGAACUUUGCUCCGUCGCUAAAUGAACUGCUCCGUCCUUUCUAAUGGAUAGUCCUCUUAUAACUAAAUGCGGAGGACGGGCUCAAAGAUCCUUUUUAGUGGACGCUACUUGAUUAUGGGGGGAUGAGACUGAUUUAUCCAUUGAAUAUGGGGAUGAUCUUGGAGAAAAUCGGUCCGGAGGACCAGUCUCGCUAUUUCAUAACCUUUUGAGCUCUUUCUUUGCACUCCCUCUCGUCUUCUUCAGUAUUUAUUAGGUUCAUGCUUCCCUUCUAGCCUUUUCUUCAGUAUUUAUUAGGUUCACGCUUCUAACCUCAUAAAUUCACUCUCACCUAACUCCUCUCCGCCCCGUGGGAGGGACUUCGCUCCUCUCGUUCUAGAACUCAGUCGAGCUCCUUCUAUCCUUUUUAUAAGAGUCAAAAAAGAGUAAAUAAGAGAGUCUUUUCUUGUCAUGGGACAUGGAAAAGUCUUCCCCUUUCUAUUUGGUAAAGAGAGAUAGAUCCCCUACCCCCGUACGGAUGAGGCAUCCUCUUUCAAUGAAAAGAUUCAUACUAUUUUCUCUGGAAGAACAACUGACUCAGCAACUUCUGAAACAUCUCCUUUAACCCUAAUACAUUGUCUGAAUGUAUUCUCUCAUUGGGAAUCUUGAAGUUAAUAUGGACUAAAUCAAAGCUUUUUUUUUGGAAGGCAAACUCAACGCAAUAUUCUUUCUUUGCGCCUCUGCGGUCAGUCCUUCGGACCAGCUGACUCUAAAGGAAAUUGAUUCUCUGCACUCCUUUCCUUCUUUUCUUAGAUAAAUGCGCCUCAACUCAUAUUACAUUGAGCCUCUUUCUCUCGUCUUUUUUCUUAUAAAAACUGAUAGUCCUUGCACUCCGUCCUCUUGACUCGUUUUCUCUUCUUAGAUAAAUGCGCCUCAAAUUCUUUGGCCCUGCGGACUCCGGACUCCGGACUACGGAUAAAUCCUCCGGACCUGUGACGCCUCCGGACGGGUAGAAUUCUCCUUUCUCUCUCAUAUACGAACAUUAGUUAGGCUAGUCUCCUUCGAGAAAAUCUCACUCUUAUUCAUUCCAUGAAAUACCAGCAAGAGACCGUGUAGUGGGCAACUCGGUCCUGAGAUCCCUCACUCAGAGCUAAACUGGACUUCGCUGACCUCCGAGACUGGGACUAUUUCUUUAUGGAUCUUCAUUGAUCAUAGCAUAGUACUUCUUCUUUAUUAUUCUUCGGCAAGAGAUAAUGAAAGAGAGGAUAGGCUGACGAGGAGGGUUAGCCUAUGAAAUCCAAUCAGAAAAAUCCGGAACGGAGACAGCUUCCGACACCUAUCGGGAGAGCCGAGGGAUGAGUUCUUAUGCUGCCGAUUGAAAGAGAUCAUAAUGCUUAGGAAGAAGGAUACAGGAAAGCUGCUUCCGACCGAUAGCAGACUCCCUUCUAACCUCUUCCGCAAGAUCUCAUACUCACUGAACCUAUGAAAGAUCUCAUUCCGAUUGAUCUUCCCUGUAUUCCGAUCCUUAUACAGUCGAGCUACUGCAUAACCUAUCCGAUACAGUCUCAACUUUCACUCAGUCGAGCUACUUCCUUCUAAGUCUAUUGCAUAACCUCUCCUUCUCAUUCUAACUCCACUCAUUUGUAUAAUAAAGUCUUCCGAUUCUUCUUUCGUCCUAUUCAUUUUGGAUAGCUGGAUAGCUUCCCCUUCCCCUCCAAGUAAAGCAUAUGAAUACCUCUCAAGCCUAUCUUGCACUUUUCUAUCUCCUUCCCAGUCAGAACAAGGAAAUGGUCUCUUCUCAAUUUCAUCGUCUAUGGAUAGUCGGACUGAUUUAUUCCAUAUAGCCUUUUCUUCCCGUCGGUCUUGUCAAUAUUCUUUUCACCUCCACCUUUGUACGAGCCGCCGAUACCGCUCGGCCUCUCUCGCCUAUCUCCUCUGCUUAUGGUGGUGGGCAGUCCCUAGCCUGGGGAGUCCUCAACCUCACUAAGUAAACUCUCUCUCUCCUUUGAUUGAAUCUUGGACUGACUCCUAACCGCUCCGUGGGCCUUUCCUUUUCCCUCUUUCUUCAAGUUCGGGAUCUCCUCUUUUAGUUCGCCGAUACGAUACAGGAGAGUGCCUUCUUAGUCUUUCUCUUACCUUUCUGCGGAAAGAGAUCAAUGAAAUGGAUUUGACUGAUUACUAACUAAAUUCCCUUUGUCUAUGUGCUUACCGGAAAGGUCAAGUAAUUUAAGCGAUCUCUCUCGUGGCCUCGCCCUUUCUCCCCCGAUAUCAGGUGGGGUUCCCUGAAAGGAAGGGAGAAUUCCUAUUCAACUGGAACUGCCACACUGCGACUUAAACUUCCUCAGCGACAUCUCAUUCCAAAGCUGCUGCUUCUGCCGCGGAUGAAACUAAACUGAAAAGAGAGCUCGUCCUUCUCCUUAAUAAUUGGGCCUCCGAAUCCAGGAAGGAAGUUUGAAGCGCUUUGGCUUUCUUCCAGUAAAAUCACAGUAUUUUCCACCUUUAGGCUUUCUUCUUUUGAUUAAUAUAUAAGGCAAGCACUUCCCUUGGGCAAUAGCUGCGCCAACUUCCACUCGAAAUGCAACUAAAGCGAGGGGUGCCCCAGAUUCUAUGCAGCCUCAUUCAUUGAUCUAUUUUGAUGCCUCUUGCCUCUUGUCGAGCCUUUAUCCUCUACUCUCGAGCCUUGAAGGGGGAAGACCGGGCAAGGGAAUUCUAUGAAGGCAUCCACGGAUCACAAGAUUAUGUAUUUCUACUGUUGUAUCUGAUUUUUCUUUUCAGUCUCAGUCAGCGAAUUUCUUCUUUGCGCUGUAACGGGAUCCCACUACUAGGUAUAUGAAGAAUGGCUUUUUGGUUCGGAUUCGCUCCUUUCUUUCCCUAGGCUUUCUUCCUACUUCCCCCUAAAAUAAAGGCGGACUUCUUUAUGGAACUGAAGCCUUUCUCCUAUGGUCUUUUUUCUUAUCUAAACGGAUUCUCCCGUAGGUCUCCUUCCUGAACUUCCUCCCACUCCGCCGUUGGGGAGGUUCUACCUCCUAUAUUCUGCCUCUUUUGGGGUGUCCUGUGCGAGCUCCUGUGCACGAGCCGUGUACCGCUACGUGGCUUACUGAUUUCUUCAUAAAUCCGUAUUUGAUCUUCUUCAUGAAUCUACUACCAUAUUAGAAAGAUUAGCUUAAAAAGAAGAAAAGCGAAUCUCAACCCCGGUGUGGGAAGGCGAACUUCUGAAGGCACAACUACUGCUUUGUCUGAAAGAAGAAGAACUGGGACGAGGUAUGGGCCUGGCUUUGAAAGAAUGGGAAAAUGGGGUCGAUCCUUACUUUGCAUGCCAUGAGUUAGGGAAAAUGCGCAAUUCAUUUUUUGGCCUCAUCCAAUCCGAAAUUUCCUUAUCAAUGAGACGUCCGGAGGCGCAUAGAAGGACUUUAUCAUUCUUUUUCUUCCUUUUCCGACUCCGUAGGCUUUCUUUCUUUUUUAACUCACUGAAAAAGCGUGGGCUUUCACUUCUGACUCUUACCCGGUCGAUGGGGUUCCUGGAGGGAGAUACUUCUGACUCAACUGAGAAUUCCUCUUUAUUUCUUGCUUCUGCCGAAACUGGUGGAGUUGAUUAAGUCGGUCGUCAACUCGUCGUCUGGUACGCUUUCUUUCUUCCUCAACAUUAAUAGUGAGCGCUGACUCUUCCCUAUCGGGUAAGCCGUUGUUCUCCUAAUUAAGGGGAUAGAUAUUCAUACUUCUCCAAGAUAGCUGGCAUAGAAAGUUCUUUAUUCCUUCCCUCUUCGGAGACAUUCCUUUCAACUCCAAGAUCUCCUCCACGAGGUUAUUCAAGGGAUGAGGCUGCUGAUAACCUCUUCUAGUCGACUUCGCACCUUGCCUUUCCCGCCGGCCGAAACAGAGACUGAGAAAGGGGUUUGAACGUUGAAAAAGAGUCCUUUCGACUAAGAAAGAAGCAUUGACAUUACAAUCCCACUCAAUAGAGAAAUAAGAAAGACUAGAGGCCAAAGAGAUCUCUCAGCUUACCGAUCUCAGAACGGAUCGAGCGGACUUUCGUACCUCGUAUGGGAAUCUUUUCUCAUAUACAAGAUUUCUGAUAUUAGCUUAAUCCUCACUCAACUCUUUCAACCUCUGGGACAAGAACUACAACUGCUGUGUCUCGCAUUUCUCGAAGAACUGAGAGUGGGCCUGACGCGUGGGCUUCCUUCGUUUAAUUACAUCGUUCCGACCCCAUAGAAGGCUGAUUAUCUGACAUAGGAGGCUGAUGCUCGUUCAGCAUUUCAUAAUAGAAUAGGGAAUCUUUUUCUAGCUUUCUUUUUCGGUUACUCAUGAAAGAAUGAACCCCCUACCCAACUAAAAAGCUACUUUUUCUGCAACAACUACCACUACUUCUUUGUCUUCAACAAGAAGAACUGGGACGAGGGAUCCCUUUGAAGGGGGAACUUCCACUUCUCCUGCUCCUUCUGCUAAUGCAACAAGAAAAGCUAGAGCAAAUACUUGAACUUCCACAACGAAAGCGAGAGCCGAAACGGAAACUACUGAUUCCGCAUCCUACUAGUUUCUUAGUCGAAAAUAGAGUGAAGUUACUCGGAUUCAACGUGAAAACACAAGUCAAAUUCAAAUAGUUCCAACACCACGCAAUAUUCGAUAAUUCAGGCCCACUCCGCGGUGCCAUAAGACAGGUCCGAAGGACUAUCCAUUAGGGAAUCUUGGAACUGAUCUUGUCCUUAUCAAUGAGACCACUCAAAGGGUAUAAUAUCUCACAUCAGAAUUCGAUAAAGACCGACUCCACUCAAAUUCUUUGAGCCUUGGAUGAUAGGUCAUUGUAUUCAGUCUUCUUUUAUGAAAAGGUUUUGUGGUCCACCCACGAAUGAAUAAGGAAGCUCUUUAUGAAAGCAGAAGCUAGACAGAAAGCAUAGGAUGGGCUCGCGGGUAGAUCUUGAUCGCCGGCCGAGUGAAAUAGAAAUGGGAGUGAUCUUUCUCGGCGGAGGUUAGACAAAAGGGAAGAUCGGAGAACAUCUUUCAUGAGAAAGUGAACUCAUUCUUUGCGGGGUCCGACUGGGCUAAGCCUAUUUACCCAAAAGAAUGGGAAAGAAUGAGCGGAAGAAGAAAGCCCUUGGUCUUUUCAUGAUCUCUUUCGGAAUAAGCCUCAGACUGAAAAUAAACUAAUCGAAAAUCUUACCCCGCACCGGCUUACGCUUGAUUUUGAAAUAAGCUUCCGUGACACAGCUCUUCUUCUUCCCUAUUCAUACUCAGCAGCUACGGAUGGGAUGCCUAUUCCUCACCUAGGAGUGGGACGGGUCCAACCCUUCUUAUUCAGUUACCGAUGUUACCGAUAAAACCUCAUAUGGGAAUUGAGUUCUAUGAAGAUAUCGAAAAUGGUAUGAUUCCCACUCAGCUACUUCAGAAACGGAGGAUAGAGGAAGAACCGACAGCUACUGACUCUAAAGUCGAGCUACUUUCUUCCACGAAAGAACCUAUCUGGCCGGGCGAUUAGCUUCUUUCUUGAGAUCCCUCACCUCUCCGAACCUGGGACUUCCUGACUAUACCCCCUAAUUCAUUAGUCUUCUCUCUUCUUCGAUCGGGUCUUUCGUGAUCAAGUUCUUAGGAAGCAAGAAUCCAGGAGAAAGCGGUUCUGAGAUCGGGGGGAUGUAAUUGAGUGAGACCUACAAGCGGUAUGAGUCCCAAGGCAAGUGGCUGACAACUAACUCUAUCAUAUAUGUCCCAGAACAUUCUUUUGCGCGUCCCGGGUUAUUCUUUCCGGGAAAAGGUGGAAUAUCGAGAGAGGAUCUACGAGGCGAGCUUUCUAGUAGGGUUGGAGAAGGAGAGGAGGCAGAAAGGGAAAAGAAAGAGUGAGGAAGCAGCGAGAGCUAAAUAUAGGCUCAAUGAAAUAUGAGCAGAGCAAAAAGAAUCAAUAUCCCCGUCCGGAAGGAACCCACGUAGCGGUUCCAACCUAGGAGGGGGACCGGGAACAUGUUCAUAUUCCAUCAAGAGGUCCGGAAGUCAGGUGGAAUAAAUUAGUCCAAGAAGUUCAUGGAGUGGAAGAAAGAGUCCAACAAGGCGCGUCAAUAUCCUUUGCUCCUAACCUCUGAUUUAUGGGACUCCUACGGCAAGGAAGAAAAUCUCCUUAAAUUAAAGGUUCAUAUUCCAUCAAGAGUCCAACAAGGCGCGAAGCGAAGCGACUUCUACGGACUCCUACGGCAAGGAAGGAAAGCCUAUCCGAAGGAGCCAUAGGGGUCGAAGAAGAGAGACUGCAUAAACUCCUAAACCUACUAGAAAGUCAGAUAUGGAAUUAUAAGACUCCUCCGGAGGCGCAAUGAAAUAUGCGUGAGAAGCGAUUGAAGAAGAUAAGCCUUCGGCUGGAGCGCAAAUCUCCUCCUCCGCGAAGGAGCCGUCUUUUUUGCUUCGAAAUGGGUUGUCGAUUUAUUCGACUUUUGCUAUCAUGUCAAAAACCAUUGAUUUUCGCUUCAACGCAAUAUUCUGCAUUGAGCCUAUAGCCAAAAGCAUGAAAAAUGGGGAUUAGACCUAGGAUUCCACGCCCCUCCCAUCCACCCCUUUCACAUGAAAACUAGGGGGGUUGAGUCGGAUUAUGACUUUCAUAAGUCAACAAGACUAAGCAGUAUCGACGGCAAAGGAGAUAGGUUAGUGGGCUCUGCCCUUUCCUUCUUCCAUUUCAUAAUCAGAGUAAUCUUUUUCACAUUUCAGCAGCCUCAUCCCUUUCCGGUAACAGAAGGAGGGGGCUUGGGUCUUGAGUUACGAGGUCACUCUUGAAUUAGAUCUUUCGUAAAGCGCUCUUACGUGGGAAAACGUAGGUUCAAAUCCUACAGAGCGUGGUUCUUGAAUGAGUAAAUGAGCUAGUUGACCACAAGGAUUUAGAGAUUUCUUUGCCGUCAACUGAAAGUAAAGUUCAGAUAGAUCGGCCGCUCGACGACUCAGGAUGUUAUGCUUCGUUCUCGAUCCUCUGCUUCAACCGCUACGUGGGCCGAGAUUCUUUACGGAAUCACACAAGUUUUCUGAGCCGCAGCAGAUGAGCAAGAAAGAGUUGAUGAGUAAGUCAGAGAAAGGCAGGCCCUUCAUUAGUCAAGGGAAUGAGAGGUUUCGAUCGGCAUAUGUUAAGCAAAUGACAAGCUAAAGAAAAGACCCAUGAAUGAGGAAAGCCAGCCCUCCUUUGGACUGACUAUCCACUUAGGAUAGGCUUUUCUUCUUUUGAUUCCAAAUAGUAGGCUUUCUCAAUAUUCUUUGAACUGGUGUCAUAUGAAAAAGACAGGAAGAAAGCGCGUAAAAGCACAUUUGACUCACAAAGAUAUAUGUGAAAUCGGCUCGUUCAAAGUCGCAAUAUUCUUUGGGCCUUCGUAGCUUAAUAAUGGGGAUCUGGUCUCUCAAUUCACUGCUCCGUCGGAGUCAAAAAGAAAGAAUCUCAUCGCCUCAAUAUCCUUUGAGCCUCGAGCAAGGAAUAUUGCGAAAUCAGUCCCACUAUUUCAUUAUAAGGGAGGGGUAUGAAAAGAGAAGUUGUCUAGGGAAACCCUUCUGCUACGGUCUAUUUUCUACCGCGGAGUGGGGAAAGAAAGACCCUAUUUGAGUACUUCUUCCUCAAAGUGGAGGAAAGAAAGGCGCCUCUCCUUUACAGUCUCCCCUAUUCAAACCUGUCUUUCCUUUCUCGUGAACGCGACUCGAUAAAGCUUCUUUAAGGUGGGGAGCGGGUCCGCUUACUCUUGUUGUGAGACAUCAUCUGCACCCUUCUUUUUAUUACCCCUAUCCUAUGCCGAUUGGGUACUUUACUUAUUCCGAUCGAUCUUUGUGCGACCUUUCUACAUUCCUUGUGGCUUGAGAGUUUUCCUGUGAUAAUGGAGGGAUCCAAUUUCCCCCUUUUCACGUCAAUAGUCUUUUCGACUAAGACUCAUAAGAAAGGGUUACAAACUCAGUCAAAAGAGUGCAAAUGGGAAUACCGAUCGAAGGAAAUCAAGAACUAAUACUUAGAAAGCGGGUGGACAGCUUGUUCUGCAACCAACGACGGCGGAAACGGGGACUUGAAGGAAACUGCCUUUGCCCCUAGCCUUUCUCUUGAAGUUGGAGUUGGGAAAUCCUUUUCAGCCUUUGAACUUGAAUGAGGCGAUAGGGGAAGGAAAGGCCGCUUCUUGGUCGAUUGAUUCAGUGGUUGGAAUCGGGGCAAGCAGUUGAUUUUCAGUUUGCAUCUCAUUUUCCCAAAGGCUGAUUUUGAGAUGCGAGACCGCUCCGUGGGUUAGAUCUUGAGGCUGAGGAAUGAGACCGAGCCCUUUCAUGAGACAGGAGGAAGAGGAAGUGAAGCUGAUCGACUGCCCACUACGCGGAUCGGAAGUGAAGCCGUUGAAGCUCUUUCCAUUGCGGCAGCUAGACCUACAAUACGACUUAUGAAUAAAUAAUCAAUCAAUCAAGGUAACUUAAUAGAAAGCGAUACGGGUGGCCAUAGAAUUUCUUGUAAAAUAGAAUAACCGUUCUCAUGAUAAGUCUCCGUUGCUGCUAGAUCAGUAUUUUGAUGAGUACGAAAAGAACAAGGUGAAAGUUCAGUCAUAAAAGGAAAGCCUAUCCUUAAGCUUGAUAAAGAAGUUAAUAUGGAAAUGAUAAGUGGAUUUAUAGCUCGCAAUAUUCUUUGCACCUUUUCAUGCUCCUCAAAUUCUUUGAGCCUCCUAGAAAUGAACUUUGCGACAAGCCCACUCCUCCUUCAGCAUAAUCUACGAAGCGCAUUUAUCUAAGAAAAGAAGAAAAGAAGAAAGGAGUGCAAGCGAAAACUAAUGGAUUGAAUAGUCCUUCGGACGGAUACCGGGCCUGUCUUAUGGCGCCUCCGCUAGGUGCAAAGAAUAUUGCGUGGAAAAUCAAAGUAUGAAAUCCGCUAAAAGUCGCAGCCGCUUAAUAACCGAAAAGUGAAGACUCUUAAAUAGCCGCUUAAAAAGUAUUAUGGAGAAAAAAAGCUGUUAAAUCACUGACCGUCGGAGGGAGCGGGACAAGGCAAAAAGGUUUGAAUUGAGAUUCAAGAAGACGGAGCGGAAUAAAGAGGUUAAUAUGGAUAUAAACAAGUCCUUCGGACGGGAAUAGGUUGAAAGUCCAAGAAAUGAAAUGGAAUUCAGAGGUCCCAUAACAAAAACAAAGAAAAGUCCAAGAAAAGAAAGGAAAGGCGCUGCUCAAGAUUCAAAGCCUUUUUGAAGGUUGAAAGUCCGACGCCUAGUAGUAGGAUAAGGACGUAGAAGGUAGUAGUAGGAUAGACUUUACGAAUUCUUCCUCUUCCUUUCCUUUCAUCCGCGUAGUGCUUUCUUUAUUUCAAAGUCUUCCGCUCCGCUUCUUAACUUCUCUGUAUCAGAUCGCUUAUGCAGUAGCUCUUUGACCGCGAAAUGAGAGGCCGGUCUGAGAUCGAAGACUGACCACACAGGUACAUUGGCUCGACUUCCCGAUAGGAAAGAAUGGCUUGUUUGCAGGAUCUUUUUAGAAGAUAGAAUAUCCCCGUCGUCAAAGAAAGAGAACUCGUAGAGAUAGAGAUUCUUACGGAAGAGGUUUCUAAUAGAGGAGGGUAUUAGCUUGCCUUUCAUCUUCUUCUGUUGACUGGAAGAGAUAGCCGAAAGGCAUCUUUGAAAAAGGUAAGGAGAUUCUGCCUUAAUGCAGUCAAGUUUUCCAAUGCAUUUCUAUAGAAAGCAAAUCAAGAUCCAUUCUGAUCUCAUUCUCGCGUACAGACAACCCUAAGAUCGAAAAGGAAGGACUACGGGGGACUCUCUCAACAUCUAUCAGUAGAGCUAUCGCUAAGCUUUCUUUCAGUCCCUUUCUUUGGUUAACAUGCUUUCAGGCUUGCCAAUAGAUGAUAGAAAAUCUUCAUCCUUCCUCAAAGGAGUGGAAAGUCUCUCCUAUAGCUGGACACUUGUCUACUUUUUCAACAAAGAAAGCCACGGAGCGGUGGUAGUGGAGAUGUUCCAGGAGGCUUCGUUGCUGCUACCCACAAUCUCUCCCAUUUCCAGGAUCAUCAAAAGAGAGAUCGGCGAAAGUGGUCAUUCUAUCUAAGCGAAGGCGCUUAGCAAACUCUGCGGCUCCGGGGAGAACUGAAAGAUUUUCCAAUACCAAGAGCAGCUAGAGCUCUACUAAUUGAAUAGGGGUGGCGAUUCCCAUCUAGCUUUACGACGAAAGUUCUCAUUUUGUUCUGUCUCAUGCAUGAAAUGAGAGAUCAAGACCAACUGCGCCAGUUUUCCAACUGAGAAUUCCUCUUUCAGUCUCUCAUGCAUGAACAAAGGGAAAAAGAAAGGGCGAAGGCGUCACAGGUUAAUAUGGAUAGUCCGGAGGACCUGUGAAAAGUCAAUAAAAGAAAAGAAGAAUGAACUCAUUAACGAUAAUGAAAGAAGAAAAAAAUGGGAAUGAAAAAUAAAGAGGUGAAUAUGGGAGAUUGAAGAGCUAGAUUUCAGAUGAAUCCGCGGAGGGAAAUCCCAGAUUUUGCUAGGUUUUGCCCAUAGGGAAGUAGCAAGAAAUCAUGAAAAUUCCUUCUUUUUCACUCAAUUAUCGUUAUUUAUCAAUAUGAGAAAAAGUCCUAUUUAGAAGCAAAAAAGCCGGGAAAUUGCAACUGGUCCAUUAUCAAAAUCUAGGUCAAAGAAAUGAACAUUGAGAACUUCUAGUUUGUGUUCCGGAUACUGAGAGGUCUAUUCUUUAUUUCACUCCAGGUGAUUCAAUCAUAAUGAUUCUUUCAUUCGAGUGAAUGAGUGAAUUCUGCUUUCAUUCUCGUUAAUGAGUGAAUUAUGCUUUCAUUAUCGUUAAUGAGUGAAUUAUGCUUUCAUUAUCGUUAAUGAGCUUCUUUUCUUGACUUUUCACAGGUCCUCAGUCCUAUCCAUAUUAACCCGUCUGUCCGGAGGACAGGUCCGAAGGUGAAAUCAAUGAACAAGGGAUUUCCACUUCAAAAUUCUCGAAUAUUGCGUCUUUGAUCAGCGGCUUUCCAGAGGCAGUUCGUACUCAGCCAUGAAAUCCAUAUUCACUCUGCCCCGUGGGAAGCUUGGGAUCGGCGGGUCUUGAUGGUGAUGGUAUUCUUUGAAAGACAGUUGCGGCUGAUGCGGCUGACGACGCUGACAGGUAAUUAUCAGUUGAACCUAGAAAGGAAGCAGCUCUCCCCUCGAGUCUUGCAGCUGAGUGGAAUGAAAUAAUCCCCGAUCUUUUCGGGUAAGAAAAGCAGACAGAUUCCUUUCCGAGUGAGCAUAGACGAAUAAGGAAGGGUCGGAUGGGGUAGUCUUAGACGUACCGCUACGUGGGAAUUUGUAUUUCAAUAAGCGGGCGAGUCGCCUGCAUUCUUUAUCUUCCCUUUCGAAAGAGAGAAUGAAUAGUUCUCAGGGGCCCAUGAAAGAAGAAGAGCUAAGCAACUUCUGCUGGAAGAACUAAAGCAACUGGAAGAACGACUGCUACAGCUGAAACUGCUGAAAGAGGGCGAGCUUUUCAAUAAAGGGGCGUGAACCCCAACUUCCCUUUCCUCCCCACGGACUUAUUCCUCUUUUUCUUAUGCUGCUCUUGGAACCCCAAAUCCACUAAUAAGCAAGAGUAAGUAGGCGAAAUCUCUGAAAAAGGUAUUCAUUCUUUAUAAGCUCCACAGGUCUGAGACCGGUGCUCAUAUCUUUUUAAAUGAGUGAAAGGACAUCACUAAGAUCUACGAUAAAGAACUCGAUUUGCACUCCGGUCAAAGCCCUUUGAACUCCACUAUUAAUGGAUAAACUAAUGGAUAAAGAAGUCCCACUAUUUCAAGUCAGGAGGUCUUGAACCUACGGCAAGGAAUGAACGAGUCAUCUGGACCUUUCUUUUUGGACUUGAAUUGCUUAACACAUGAAUUCCGAUAAAGACUACCUACUUAAAGGUUUUUAUGAUUGACUUUACAACCUACUUGAAAGGCAAGGAAUAUAAGAGAUACUAAUGUUUUUAAAAGACUCUUAUAAAGACCUCCGGUUUUUAGGAUUUAGAUAGACUAUUACUACCUACGGCAAGGUUCCAAUAAGGGUCAGGACGACCGGUCCGAAGGACUAAAUAAUCCGUAGGAGGAGUCUUGUCUUCUCCUGAAAGCCUAGUGGAAACCUAUUAGGCCAUAAACUUCUUCCAUUAUACUCGUUCAAACCACUAUUUUUAUAAUAGAUGAGAGUUCUCCACUGAACCUGAUUAUACGAGAAUGAAGGAAGGGUAGCUUUCUUACUCAUCAAGAAUCGGAACUAUAGGUUUCUGCUUUCCGUCGGCCUUUCUUUCGUGAAAUCAGUCUGUGCCAUUGAAAUCGGAACUGCUGUUAGCAGGCUAGGGCAGUUGAAUCCCUCUCUUCUUCGAUCGAUAGGGCAUUGAAUGAGAGAGAUCUCUUGACCAAGGCCUGAGGCGAGGACUCUAAAUCCUGGGAUUUACAUUAAGAUACUCGUUCAUGUCCUCUUAUUUACUCUUUUUUGACUCUUUAAGGAAUAAGACGGAAAAGGAGGGAGCGCAAGAUAGGCUCGAGUGAGGUGUAGAACGAGAGGAGCGCAAGUGCAAGAAUGCAUAUAAGGAAGACCCCACGGAGCGGGGGUCAAUGUCCAAUCCUUUGAUCUUAAGCCAAUGCUAACUUCUCCUUUAAUACAGUUAGCGCUGUUCACUCUUUCGGAUGCCUCAUGAGAGAUCGGGGAGUGGCCACCACAUCGUUCUUGCUGCUGUUGCAGUGAGUAUGGUCUCUCUUUCAUAGGCCCAGUCUCGGUUUCAUGAGUAAGAGAAAGAAAGUCUACCUACAGGCAGCGUCAUCUCUUUCAUUCGUUAUGAGAAAUAAGGCUGAUCGUCAGCUUAUUUGUUGAGGUAGCAGUCUAAGAAAGAUUAUCCCUUGCGGCCGAGUCAUUCUAUCUUUCAUCAGAGAUCGUAGGGUCGGUUGACGAAGAAGAAAUAAAGAGGAUCUGGUCCGGGAGAGGAGAAAAGCAGGCAUUGAAUGAAUAAGAGUCCCAGUUGAGGAUGCAGAAUAGGUUAUCAGCGGUAUUCUAAGCCCACUACGCGGUUAGAAGCCACUCGACGAAGAGCUCUUUGCUUCAACCCCGGUACGGUAUGAGAUGCGCUUCAUGAUCAGUUGAAGAAGGAAGUCUUCUUUCUAUGAGUAGGACUAGCUGCUAUCUAUAUUUAUAUAUCUAUUUUUCUGAUAAAUAACGAUAAUUGUCGAAAAAGAAGGCAUUUGACUUGAUUUCUUGCUACUUCCCUAUGGGCAAAACCUAGCAAAAUCAUGUAUUUCCCUCCGUAAAAACAAGGUUAUGAAAUCUGAAUUAUUCUUGAAUUCGAGUUAAUGAGUGAAUUCUUCUUUGAUUGACUUUUGUGCCAGUCCGAAGGACUAUCCAUAUGCGCAUCUGCGUCCUUCUUUUUCGCAACGCAUAUUGAAUUGCGCCUUCUAUAUAUUCUUUGCGCCUUCGCAAUAUUCUUUGUCAAUAUUCUUUGAUCCUCUAUAUAUUCUUUGAUCCUCUAUAUAUUCUUUGCGCCUAGCCUUGGCCUCCUUCUUUCAUCUGAACAUGGGAUGCGGGGUGAACCCCAUUAGUCUGAACCUUGUCAAAGUCAAUAAAUUCUGAAAGCGCGAGCACAAUAUCCCUGUCUUAUGGAGCCUGCAGCGAAACCUGAACCGCUUCACAACCGAAUCCCCAGAUCACAAGGGGGAGGGAUGUCCACUGGUCUUCUGUGAGACGGGCUAAGGCAUCCGCUACUUCCUCACUAGAAAUAGAAAAAGUGGGCCCGCCUCGUCCGUGGAGAGUUUCUCAGUCUCGACUUUCCUCUUAACUUAGAGUUUGGAAUGCUUUCGCUUUAGGCGGGGAAUAAGAAGACUGAUUCUUGCACCCUCGGACUUUCCCGAAAGAGAACCCCUUAUGGGAUUCUCGCCUCAGUAAUCCCUCUAUUAUAUGCAUACCGAUCCUACUAAAGAAACUGGGAAUUCCCUCUCGUAUGAUGAACCCACGGAUAUCUUUUUACGAGGACUUUUCCCUCUGACUCACUGGUGGAGCACCUCGUCUCGUCUCUGAUCUUCAAAGAAUUCCAUGAAAAAAUCACUCCUAGAAAUAAAGAAAGCACUACGCUACAGACGGUGGGAUAAUAUAAUAAAGA